GGUAAUUCUCUCCCUUUGUGUUUGUUAUUCUUAUUGUUUAGAACAAUUUAUAAUUUAGCAUUCUCUUAUUAUUUAUUAUCAAUAUAUACAUGCCUCCGAUGCAUUAAGAAAAAAACAUCGUUUCAUAACUUUCUUUUCUUUUUUGUUACAUGUAAUGAGAAAGUGCUUAUGUAAAUAUGAGAGCAGCAAAAUAUUGAGGUCGUUUAAAAUAAUUUGAUGAGAUCUUCUAAGAUAGUGUUGAAUUAUCACCCUGUGAACUGUUGUUUAACUUUUAAUCCUUUCUACAAUGAGUUUUUUGCGUCUUGUAUUUCAAAAGUGAUCUCUUGGUUUUUUAAAGUAAGAGGUUUUUUUGGGACUGGAAAACUCAUCGCCCUUGCAGUACUUUUAACUUUUCUGUGAAUUUUGUACCGGAAAGCAUCUCUUCUUUUAGAAUUGAAAGAAACUUGAAUUCGGGACAACAUGUUCUGAAAAAGCUCAUGAAAAAUAGAUGCGCGAACAGAUAAUGGAGGGUUUCAGUCGGUUUAAAAUAUUCUGGUUCAUCCCUGGUCUUUUGAUUGGGAAAGCUGCUAAAUUCUAUGUGACUGUGGGAUAAGUAAACAUCUAGUGGUUUUUCCUUUUCAAAAGUGGAAGGCUGCUCUCUUGAUGCUUUUGCACUCAACUGAGAUGGUUGAACCUGUCUCAUCAGAGAUUACAUUUGGUAUUUUUUGAAUACCAAUUUGAGCUUGGAAAAUGAUACCAUGUGAACUAUUUGUUCAGUCCCUGCUAAACUGUUUUUUCGCAAUGCAGUCCCUUGAAAGAUUGAGGCUUGUUUCCGUGGUUGAAAAGUCAAAACUUUUAUGCAUUGUUUGUAGACCCAGAGGAUUAUUGGAUGCCCCUGCAGCAGUUCUGCUGGAAUUCUAUUUUGGUCUGUGCUUGUCUUGGACUUUGAUUUGGUGGCGUGAGAAAAAUUAUGAUUCAAUUUCUGCUUCUCCUUUUUAUUCAAUUUCUGCUUUCCUCUUUCCAUACAUAAAACCAGAACUUUUUUAUUGGGAUGGUGUUGGAUGAUUUUCAACAACUGAUUUAGACCCAAGCAAGCACUUGGGAUUUCUGUAACAAAAUUCUCCUGAUUUAUAGUUGCCUUGUCCCUGGGAUUGGAGAUUUCCUUGAAAAAAUUGAUUGUUUUGACGAUUGCGUAAUCUCAUUUUGUUUUGCACUUGUACCCUCUCUCGCUCUGAAAUUUAGAGUUGGUAAACGGGUAGCAUGGGUUUUUUGGGUCUUGUAUUUGAAAAGUGAUCUCUUGUUUUUUAAAAGUAAGAGGUUUUUUGGACCGGAAAACUCAUCGCCCUUGCAGUACUUUUAACUUUUCUGUGAAUUUUGUACCGGAAAGCUCAUGAAAAAUAGAUGCGCGAACAGAGAAUGGAGGGUUUCAGUCGGUUUAAAAUAUUCUGGUUCAACCCUGGUCUUUUGAUUGGGAAAAGCUGCUAAAUUCUAUGUGACUGUGGGAUAAGUAAACAUCUAGUGGUUUUUCCUUUUCAAAAGUGGAAGGCUGCUCUCUUGAUGCUUUUGCACUCAACUGAGAUGGUUGAACCAGUGUCUCAUCAGAGAUUACAUUUGGUAUUUUUUGAAUACCAAUUUGAGCUUGGAAAAUGAUACCAUGUGAACUAUUUGUUCAGUCCCUGCUAAACUGUUUUUUCGCAAUGCAGUCCCUUGAAAGAUUGAGGCUUGUUUCCGUGGUUGAAAAGUCAAAACGUUUUUGCAUUGUUUGUAGACCCAGAGGAUUAUUGGAUGCCCCUGCAGCAGUUCUGCUGGAAUUCUAUUUUGGUCUGUGCUUGUCUUGGACUUUGAUUUGGUGGCGUGUGAGAAAAAUUAUGAUUCAAUUUCUGCUUCUCCUUUUUAUUCAAUUUCUGCUUUCCUCUUUCCAUACAUAAAACCAGAACUUUUUUAUUGGGAUGGUGUUGGAUGAUUUUCAACAACUGAUUUAGACGCAAGCAAGCACUUGGGAUUUCUGUAACAAAAUUCUUGGAGAUUUCCUUGAAAAAAUUGAUUGUUUUGACGAUUGCGUCAUCUCAUUUUGUUUUGCACUUGUACCCUCUCUCGCUCUGAAAUUUAGAGUUGGUAAACGGGUAGCAUGGGUUUUUUGGGUCUUGUAUUUGAAAAGUGAUCUCUUGUUUUUUAAAAGUAAAAGAUUUUUUCACUGAUUCUAAUCCCUGAGGAUCAUUUUAUGCCCGUGCAGCAGUUCUGCUGUUGUUGUAUUUUGUUCUGUAUUUGUCUUCGAUUUUGAUUUGGUGUUGUGGGAGGAAAUUAAAAAGUUUUGAUUUCUGCUUCUCUUUUUCCUAUACAUAAAACCAGAAAUUUAUUGGUAUGGUAAUUGAUGAUUUUCAAUGAUUUAGACGCAAGCAAACACUUGAUAUUUCUGUAACAAAUUGCCCUGAUUUAUGGUUGCCUUGUCUCUGGGAUUUGGGACUUCAUAACUAAAAUUGAUGGUGGUAUUAUGAAGAGAUUAGCCAUCUCAAAUCAACGGGACAGAAAAAUCCUAUUUGGUUUCUUAAAUGAAUCGCCUGCAUUUAUCUUUAUUAUGCCUAUGAACAUGUGGUUUAGGCCAUUCUGAUCACUCUUUCCCUCGUGUCUUUCACUAUUUCUUACAUCAUACUUCUUGUUUUACUUCUGUGUGUAGAUGGAGUAGGAAUCAAUCCUCAGCAAAGUGCAGGUAUGCCAUGCUCCCUUUACAUUUUAAGCUGUGUUGUCAGUUUUUUUUUUUAUGUUGUCUCUUCAAGUAUUUGUGAUAUUCGCAUCUGUGCUGAUUGAGCAGCUGCCUCGUGUCCCAUCUCCAUUUUCCGGUUGCCAUUUUCAGCGUUAUAAUUUGAAAGAGAAGUAUGCCACUGCUAGUAACCGCUGGCAUUAUGAGCAAGGCGCUAAUCAUUUAGCAUUAACCUUGUCCAUCUUCACCAGAUAACACUAACAAGUGAUAAGAUUUCUGUUUAGGAUAUUAUCACUAUAUCAUAAAUGCAUUAACAAUGCAUGAAUGCUAUUGCCUCCCUUUUCAUUUGCUAGCUCCAGGCGAUAUGAAGUAUCUGUUGAUGAUGAUAUAAUUUUAGUAGUGAUUUGUGCACUACGCCGCACUGUUUUUAAGUAUUUUGAUAUUUGUUUCACGUGACUUUGACGUGCUAGGCAAUGUCUUCCUUAAACAUGGUUCUGAACUGCGCCUGAUCCCGCGUGACAGGGUUGGAGCUUCUGAAUGUUGAAAAUAUGAUCAUCAUCAGACUGAAAAACUGGUUAAUCUUUGUGCUUACUCUGGAUCUUAUUUUCUUCUAUACCAUUCUAUAACUUUUAAUUAGUGUAACUGGUAUCAUAAUCAAUAUGAAUUGAGAUGGAAGGUAGCUGCAAUGCAUGGUCUUUCAAGUUAAUCAUAAUAGAAAGGUCUCUUUGCCCUUUUUCUUAGUCCUUUCGCUUUCAUUAUGUGGAGCCUUGUUUUCAUCAGAGAUUUGAGCUGGGGGUGGAUGAUAAUAGGCCAUAGGCCUGGUUGCUUCUAAUCACGGCCGACACAGAUGCAGUGGUUUUAAUAGUUAAACUGCUGUACCUUGACUUACUGGGAGCUACCCUGUUGAUGGAUCGAGGUUAGAUUCACCUGCCUUGUUGAUAGGUUACUUACAUUUUUUUUGUGUGGGAAACCGCUAUGACAUGAAAGCGUUGCUCCUGGACUCGCUGCUGUUGGAAAACGUUAUUUCCACUUCAGCGUUAUACUUGGUCUGAACUACCAUGAAAAGUUUUGUUUUUUUCUCUAGCAAGAGAAAUCCAGAAACUAAUUGGUGUCGGAAUGUGCAUGCCUUGCCCGAGGAUAAUUCAAUAACGCAUUGCCUAGGUGCGGGGAUGUGCGUGUUUUAUCUGAGCUCAAUGUGCUAGUUGCAAACAGAAAAAUCCAAAUCGCACGAUUGGUCAAAAAUUGCCUUUUUUACACGCGUGAUCAUCGUGUAAUAUUUGUCCCUUUUAUUUGUUGAAAAUGAUCGCUACCUAAGACCUUUUGCAGAGGCAGAGUAAUGAGCUGGCUUUCCUACUCUUUCCAUCAAAGUGCAUGGUGCUUACCCUAUACCCCCAUUGUGAAGAUAAUACGAGCUUGCCGACCAAGCUGACCAAUAGAAUGUGUGUUCCAAAUUCUCAAAUGAAGUCAUGUUCCUCUUUAAGCACCCCCGAAAAUAUAUUAAUAUUAACAAUAUACUAAAAGGCCUUUUAAUUAUACUUAUAAUAAUAUAUAAUAAUCAUUAUUAUUAUUAUAUUAUAUUAUAAUAUUUUUUCCGUUUACUGUUUUUUCAUUUUUUUUGUUUUUUUUUGUUUUUUUUGUUUUUUAUGCCUUUAGGGUUUUUUUUUGCUUUUUUCUUUGUGUUUUUUUCUUUUAAAGAAUUUUUUUGUUUAAUUUAGUUUGUUAAUGGUAAAAAAAAAUUUAUUUAAUUAUCAUACUUUCAAGACACGGAUCCCGAGUUUGACGGUUUAACCUGGUUUGACGAGUUAAUCUGGAAUUUUAUUUUUUUUUGUUUUUUUUAUUUUUAAUUAAUUUUUUUAUUUAGUUUUGUUUGUUAAUGUUAAAUUUUUUUUAUUUAAUUAUCAGAUUUUCAUGACUUGUAUCCCGAGCUUGAUAGGUUAAUGCAGUUAAUUAUGGGUUAACUCGUUAAUUUUUUUUUCUAUUUAGUUAUCAAACUUUCAUAACGCGAAUCUAAGGUUUGACGGGUUAAUCUGGUUUGAAGGGUUAACCCAGUUAAUUCAGAUUUUUUUUCCUUUUCUUCAUUAGUUUUUUUCUUCAAGUUGGUUUUUUUUCUUUGUUUUGUUUAAUUAAUCUAUUUAAUUAUCAAAUUUUUAUGACAUGACCUUGCAGUCAUACCCACAUCCAAGGCUCUUGGAUCCGGUGUUGCAACCAGACUCACUUAAACUUGAGUCAUAUAAGUUUAAUAUUAUUAUAAAUAUUAUAAAUAUUACUCUUGAGUUAAGCGUUGUAGCGAGACCAAAGGCUCUUGGGUAUAUCUUUGCAGAAAGACAUAACACUAUUAGAUCUUAGCUUUUUUUAUAUAUUUUUUAUGCAAAAAAAAAAAAUAACCCGUGGCGUAUGCCUUUGUUUUGUUUUUUUUUCCUUUUUUUAAGCCUUUUACUGUGGUUUGCACAAUGCAGUUCACGGUGAAAAAGUUGAUGUCUUUAAUUUCUUUUUUUGUCUUUUUUUCUUCUUUUUUUGUUUUGUAAUUAUUCUUUUAAUUUAGUUUCUUAAUAUUAAAUUUUUUCUGUUUAAUUAUUAGACUUUCAUGACACGGAUCUCAGGUUUGAUGGGUUAACCUGGUUUGACGGGGUAACCCAGUUGAUUCAGAUUAUUUUUCUUUUUCAUCAUUAGUUUUGUUCUUCCGAAUUUAUUUUUUAAUAUUGUAUGCAGUUCACGGUGAAAAAGUUGAUGUCUUUUUUUUUUAAUUAACUUUUUUUAUUUAGUUUGUUGAUAUUAAAUUAUUUUUCUAUUUAGUUAUCAGACUUUCAUGACACGGAUCUCAGGUUUGACAGGUUAACCCAGUUAAUUCAGAUUUUUUUCUUUUUAUUCAUUAGUUUUUUUCUUCAUGUUGGUUUUUUCUUUGUUUUUUUUCUUUUAAUUAAUCUAUUUAAGUAUCGCACUUUUAUGACACAAUCUUGUAGCCAGACCCAUAUCCAAGACUAUUGGGUUUGGUAUUGCAACCAGACUCACUUAAACUUGAGUCUUUCAAGUUUAAUGUUAUUAUAAAUAUUACUUUUGGGUCAGACGUUGCAGUCAAAUCUAAGAUUUUUGGAUAUGCAAAAAAACCUAAUACUUUUAGAUUUUAGCUUUUUUAAAUAUUUUUUAUGUAAAAAAAUUGACCUGCGGCAUCGCGCGGCUCAUGUAACUAGUGUGUGUGUAUAUAUAUAUAUAUAUCACGUGGUCUCUAGCAAGUCGGUAAAGGAGGAGAAAGGGGGAGGGGCGUCCUGAAGAAACGAGGUCCACAGUGAUGGGUAUCGUCUUAGAAGAGAGGACAUGUGCAUUUAAAGUUGCACUGAAUCUUUUGGCUCUUGAAAUCACAAUUGAAUCCGAUCACUGACCCAUAACAAUAGCCAUCUUAUUCAUGUCUUCUAAUAAUGUUUGCCUGGUCGGGGCCAGCGACAGGAAGGAGCCCACCCCGCCAGUAUUUUCAGAUACUUUCUUGUGAGUGGCAUUUGCACUUCUCAAUUGUUACGUUUCUAGCUAGGGUUACGUGUUGCGUUGGAGACGGGACACGUCAACUACUGAUAUUAUCAGUUUUGUUACAGCUUCAGCUUUUGUUGAGGUCGGAGCUGCUAGCUAUGGUUGCAGCAGCCGUGAUUGUAGUCGUAAAAGUGUGGCAAUGUGCUGUUAUAGCUACUGCAACCAUAGCUGACAAAUGGUUUUCAAAAUCUUUAUUUUAUAGCUUAUAACUUUUAGCUUUCAACUGGUUUCCAAAACUUUACCGAAUAUCAUUUUAGAAUGUUACAGACUGUGAUAAUGGUAAUGGUUUAACGUGGUUUUAUUUAAAAAUAUAAUAAAAUAAAAUUAUUUUAUUUUUAAAAAAUUAUUUUUGAUAUCAAUUUAUUAAAACAAUCUAAAAAUAUAUAUAAAAAUAUUAUUUUAAAUAAAAAAAUUUAAAUUUUUUAUUUAAAUAAAUAUGAUUUGGACAGCAUUUCCAAACAAGACUUAUAAUUUUCAAUGAAAAAUCUCCGAGCUAAAUACAGCCGGAGAUCAUGAAUUGCCAAAGGGGCUUUUAGAUGCCUUGUGGAGAUCCAGACGAUACCGCAGCAGCGACCAUAAAAUACUUCGGUUCUUGUUAUGCGUUUUGGAGGAAGCAUUUUGUGAUGUUAGCGAAGUUGGAAAAUGGAUUCUGGUGAGGGUUGCUUGGUUCGUCAACGUCCUCUCCUUUUUUGUUGGCUUAGAUUUGAGUUUGAAAGGCUGAUUGGACAGGGAUAGUAAGCGAUCCGACCGUUAGCCUAUUCUUUUUUUUACUCUCGCUCUAUAUCCGUUUAAAACAUCUUUUUUUUUUUAUCUUCUACGGUUGUUUUACCUAAAAUUUUAGAGGUAUAAAAAUAUAUGGCAAUUUUUUUUUAUAGCAGCCAGUAAUUAAUUAUAAAAGAAACACGGUAAUAAUAGAAUGAUGAUAAUUUGGGGGUAAAGAAUAUUUUUUCCAUUUCUAUUUUCAUUUUUCUUCUCCGUCUUCUAAUUUUCUCUUCAUUUACUGUGUUCAGAGACGAUGUGACAACUUAGCUAAAAGCCGUGAGCGAGUCCAUCGAGAUGAAAAGUAAAGGGGGCACAAACGAAAAGAAUUAUCAAGGGCGUCGUGCCGAGGCCGAAUUGACAAGUUUAACCUCAUAAGGUAAAAAACAAUCCCAAAACAUCAGGGUACUUUGGUAAAUGAGAGCCCCGUCAAUCCAAUCUGCUGCUUGGGAUCCCGCAAAAGUGGAUAAAACCACAUUUAUCGGAGAGAUUCAGGCCCUUCUUUUUCAUGUCUUUUGUGCUUCUUCCAUUCCCUCACGUGAUACUGUCACCUCUCUUCCCUCGCUCCUUUUAUCAAUCAUUACAUGAUUUUUUCUUCGACGCUGUUUUUUCUGUUUUAAAAAUAUUUUUGAAAACAUUUAUUUUUUUAUUUUUUCUUUACUUAAAUUUAAUAUUUUUUGGUAUUUUUAUAUAUUUUUUAUAUGAUAAUGUUAAAAUUAAUUUUUAAAAAAAUAAAAAAUAAAAAUAUUAUUUUAAUAUAUUUUUUUUAAAAAAAAACUACUGCCAAUUACCCCAAAGUUGCCAUGAACGAAUGAUGCUCCAAAUAAAACAAAACAGAGCAUCAAACCCUUUUUGAAGUUUCCUCUCUGCCAGGUUGAUGGAUUAGAGUUCCCUUUCAACCUCAGCGAGUACGAUACCUGCUGAGGAAAGCUAUGGCCUUCCUCUCUUUUUGUUUUUGGGUGCUAAUUUAAAGUAAUUAACGGGGUAUCUUUAUAGGUCAAGUUAUAUGCCUCUACUAUUAAUUAAUCUUUGUUAAUUUAAAGAUAUCCCGACCGUCCAUAAGAAAGAAAAUGAUGAAUUACUUUUCCAAUUCUCAUUGAUGUGCGGCCAUUGAUCAUCAGCUUUUCUCAUUUUCCCCGUUGCCUUGGCACUGGAGUAUCCUUGUGUCCUUUUUUUUUAAUAUUCGUAAUAAUUAUUUUUUAAAGUAUUUUUUAUUUAAAAAUAUAUUAAAAUAGUAUUUUUUUUAUUUUUUAAAUUUAUUUUUAACAAAAUUAAACAUCCUUCGUAGCAAUUAUUGCAAGUAGUAGCUUUAUCUCUGAAGUUGACCUGUGGUCCUUGAAGCUACUGGGGUGCUUUAUUUUGACCUUUCUAUGUGUCAUGGAAACAUUGUUUGCGAAAUAUUGCGAGUAGGUUUUCUUGGUGGGAUGUAUUACACACUCACAUGUGCUUGACAGGCCACGCAGCCGCAUUCACUUAACUGAGAUUCAUUGUUCUUGUCCACAACUGUGCUGUAUAGAUCAGUAAAUACGUGUAAGGUAGUUUUCCAUGCAGUGUGUGCAAUCCAAAGCGCCAUGUGACCUUUUACUUGCUGCUCUGAAGAUUCUCCAAAUUGACGGAUAAUUGGGCCGUCGCCGUUUGGUGUUGUCAUCCUUUUUUAUCUAUAUAUUUGUUUGAAAUUUAACACAAAUUUGUGAGCCAAACUCAUGAUCCAUUUAUAUAGAUAAUAAAUUCUAUUGUAUUUUUAUAUAAUAAAAAAAGUUAAAUGUUGAAAUUUGGAUGAUACUACUACGGAUAUUAUUAUUGUUUUUUAAUCUUUUCAGUUUCAUUAUAUUUUUUUCUAUUUUAUUUAUUUUUGUAUUUUAAAAGUAUUUUUAAAAAAAUUAAUUGUUUUUAAAUUGUUUUGAUAUGCUGAUAUCAAAAAUAAAUUUUAAAAAAAUAAAAAAAUAGUUUUUCCUAAACCUCUCUUCUCUUGUAUAGAUCAACCAAAAAUAAUUUUUUGUAAUUCAAUAUAAACUUAAACUUAUACCUAGCAUGAGCACGAGUCAACACGCGUAAGGGUUUAAGCUAAAAACCUAUUAUGCAUAUGACAUUUCUCCUCUGCGAAUUCUUUUGGGCUCAAUAUUAAUUAUUUACCUUCCUACUAAAUAAACCAUGAAAAACACUUGUUUUUUUUAUGAAAUAUAGUUUGUAGAGGAUAUCGUGUUUCACCAAAACAUGUUAAUUAAAAAAAUUUUGAGAUUAAUUUUUUAUUCACUCAUCUUGGUUAGCUCCAUUAUUUAUAAUCAAUGAAUGCUGGACAGUAAUCCUGUGAUUUAGCUGUGAAUCAAAGUUGGUAGACUUAUUUGUAGAGGUUAAUUAUUCCAAUUGUGGUUUCCAGGUCUUUCCUCAGCUUUCUGUUUUGUUUGCUGCGUUUUGCGGUGUAAUAAAUGCAGCAAGAUGUUUCUUAAUAACUUAAAUUGUGUUUUGUACUAUAAAAUUCAUUAAAAAAUUAAGUUUAAAAUAUAAUUUUUAUAAAGUAGCAGUUUUUACAUGUUUUUUUAACCAAAUUUUAUUAAAUCUUAUUUGUUUUUGCGUUUCAAAAGCGUUUUUAAAAAAUUUAAAAUUUUUUAUUUUUUUUACCUCAAAUUAGUAUUUUUUUUGUGUGUUUUCAUAUCAUUUUUGAUGCGUUGAUAUCAAAAAUAAUUUUUUAAAAAUAAAAAAAUAUAUUUUGAUGUAUUUACAAUUAAAAAACAUUUUGAAAAGCAAAUGUACUCACACUUCCAAACACAAACCAAAUAUUUUAGUAUUUAAAUCUAAGUAAUCACAUCUAACCACAUUUUUUAAAACUUAUUUUUUUUAAAUCACAAAAGCUAUUUAAAAAACAAACACACGAAUAGGUAGGUGACCCAUGCUUCAUUCAUGAGCCGGAUUAAAUAUUUUAUAACACAAAAAAAAAUGUUUGAAUGUUUACAAAUUAAGCUAAUAAAAUUUUAAAAGAAUAACCUAGCAUGCAAUCCAGAAUAUAAAAUCAAAAUAAUUUAUAAAAGAAAAGCAAAAGGAAUUUAUAAAACUCAAAAUCUAAUAACUUAAUGUUAAGAAAUAAAAAAACUCAAAAAAAAUAACAUUAAAAAAAAAUCAAGUUAAUCCGACCUAACUUAACUAAUUCAUAACCCUUGUUAUAUAAGAUUGAUAAAAAUAAUAAAAUUUUUAAAAAAUAACCUGUUAAAAAAAAACCAAGCGAUUUUCCCUAGUCCUUCUAUGCUGAUUUUUAUGGCUUAUUAAGGGUCUGGGCAUAUGUCUCUUUUAGGCCUUGUCUCCAAUUAUAUAAAUUAGUUUGUUAUAGAAAUCACUCUUUAUACUGAAAAACAUCUAAAUAAAAAAAACUAUAAAAAAGAUUUAAUUUUACUAACAUGCUCUUAGGAUAACCUAACAAAAAAAAUAUAUAAAAAAAACAAAAAAGUUCAAGGAUCAAUAAUUUAAUGUCAAAUGAUAAAAUUAAAAAAAAAUUAAUAUCAUAAAAAAAUCAAGGGAAAAAAAACUUGAGUCGGCCCUGGUUAACUCAACUAACUCGCUGCCUGCGACAUGGAAUCGAGAUAAAAAAGUUAGACUUUUAAAAGAAGGACUUAGAAAAAAAAACCAGAGUUAAAUAAAUAAAACAUUGAAAAGAAAAACAUGAGCUAACCCGAGCUAACUUGACUAUCUCGUACUUAGGAUAGCCCGAUAGAAAUAAAAGCAAAAAAAAUCAAAAAGCUCAAAGCCCAAUAAUUUAAUGCGAGUUGAUUAAAUUGAAAAAACAAAUUCUAAAAAAUAUAGAAAAAAAAAUAUAUGAGUCAAUUCAUGUUAACUCGACUACUAUGUUAUCCGGAAUAUGAGAUUGAGAUAAUCUAAUAAAGAAAAGUGGAACAAGCAAUGAAGUUAAAAAAAUAAAAAAGACAAAGAAGCCCCUAUGGCCUUUUCUUUUCCUUUAGGGUUAUGGCUGUAAUUUUACCAUGUAAUUUAAAAAAAAAACAAUAGAAUAUAUGACUGAAAGGUUACUAUUUUUUUUUGUUUUUAAAGGAAAAAUAGUUAUCUUAGUGUGAUAAAAAAAAAGAUAUCUUGAUCAAUCUGUCCUUAAAAAAUCUUGCAAUAACUAAUGAUAUUCUAUCUCAAAUUGUAAAUGGCAAGGUUCUUCAAUUUUCUGGUAAAAAGGAAAUGUGUUAUUUCACUGUUCUAAUAAACAAUAAAAUGUCUCUGCAAUUACAGUAUUUUACUGAUGAUUUUUAGUUUUUUUUUUUAAAAAAAUUCUAUUAGCAUGCAAAGAACACUUCUUGAAUUUUAAUGUUGAUGGCUCCCUGGGAAAAUCAAAGAAAUUACAUGGGAGAGAUCAUCAAGGUGACAUGAGCCGGAAUUUCGAAGGUUAAAGUUGCUUCCGUCAAAAUAUAAAGGGUCUCUUUCUAUGUUGUCGGCAAACUUGACUUCAUUCAUAUUCUUUUCACAAAAAAUUGUAAAAUAAAAAGGAAUAUUUUGAUGGUAACCAUCCAUGAAGAAAAACAUUCCAAGAGGAAUUGUGAUUUUUACCUCAAAACAAAAUAGUGUUUUUCACACUCCAUUGUUUAUUAUAGAUGCUAAAAUAGCUUUAUUUAAUAUAUUUUUAUUUUAUUGAAAUUUUAAAAGUAAUAAAUUUUACAAUGGACCUUCUUUAUUCUUAAAAAAAAUGCGCAGGAAAAGUAGUUUAAUAUUAUUCAUAAAUAACUGUCGCUUUAUUUUUCAGAACACAAGUCUAAUAUUUUUUUUCUACAAUAUUAAUGUUAAGCUGGUAGCAAAAACUACAAGUCUCGUGAUUUUUUUUCCUAGCUAGUAGAUAUUGUAAAUCUUAUAAAUGAUUUACUAAACGAAAUGUUCUGGUAUAAAAAUUGUAUUAUAAAUUGUAUAUUAUUAUUAAUGUUUUAAUAUUGUUUAUGAAAUAAUAAUUUAAUUGCUAGAGAUAUAUAUUAGGAACUAGAAAGUAUGGUGAUUAUAGAUGACAAACUCGAUCCUCCAGGAUAUACUGUUUAGGACAAAUAUAUACUGUAAAUGAUAAAAUUUAAACCAAUUGAAAAUAAAAUAAAACACUUAAAAUAUAGUUUUUUUCCUUUACUUUUCUUUCUAUCUUUUUUCUUCUUAAUAUUAUUUUAAAAAGUAUAUUAAAAGUAAUUUGAUUGGAGGUUAAAAUUAAAGAGUAAUAUAGACUCGUAUUAAAUAAAAUUAUAUUAGUCUCUACAGUAAAAUGAAAACAACACCAUUGAAAAAAAAAAGCAUGCAAUCCCCACCCGCACCCGCACCCGCACCCGCACCACCAUCACUUCUUCCGCUGUCAUUUCCACUGUUUUCAUGAACCCUCCCAUCACUAGCAUUGCUGACGCACAGCACCGCUAUAAUUUGUUCUAGCAACGCGGGAACAUAUGUAUAAGCCACGCGUUAAAUUUUUUAAUUUUUUGUCGUUAGUAACACUAACACUGUUUAAGUAAAAAUUUUGCAAGAUAAUACAGGCUAAAAAAAUUCCUGAGAAAUUACGCAGUUUAAAUAAAUAAAGACAUGAUUACCACUUAUGUCUUUAUUCAAAUCAGCAAUUCUGAAUCAUUGCUAUAUAACAAAACCAAUAUUCAAAAUUACUAAUUCAAUUAAUAUAGAAACUUACAUUUCUCUUGUUCUCCCUACCACAACCGUUGCUCAUCGCCCGUAAAAACCCAAAAAACCAAGCUUUUCUCGCUUGAAAUCGCUGAAAACAGCUAUCUAUCCUCCAUCAAAACACCAAGAUCUUCUUCCCCUAGACUCCACACAUAUUUCUAGUGUUUUUUCAAUAAAACCUCCAGCCAAAUCUCCUCCUUAGGUCUCCCCACCACGACCAUCACAAGCUAUCGAUGAAUUAAGGUAAAAACACUAUGUUUCUCUUAAUUUAAUUAGUGUCAUUGUUAAAUUGUGAGAUUUUUAGUUUUAGUUUACUGUUGUUUGUGUGGUGUAUAAUAAUUGAGUAUUUUGUUUGAAUUGAAAUAAUUUGGAGUUUGAGUCAGGUAAUGUAUGUUUUUACGCAAUUGAUGCUAUUUAUUGAAUCAAUUAGGUUUGAAUUAAAUAAAUCAAGGAUGCUGUGAAUGUCAAAACAAUAGGAGUUAGGGUUUGCGUUGAGUUUGACUAUAAAUUACAGUAAUUAUAUAUAUUAUUUGAAUUGAGAUAAUUUAAACUCUAAUUGAUAUCAUUAGACAUAUUUGUAUAAAUGUCAAAAUAAUAGCAAUUAGGGUUUGCAUUGAGUUUUAAAAUAAAUUAUCAAAAAUAGAUAUUUAUUUUGAACUGGAAUAAUUGAGUUAAUUUAGGUUUUAAUCAAUGUAGUUAUAUUUUAAGUUUAAUUCAAAUAUCAAAUGAAAACGAUAAGAUAAUGAGACUUUUUGUUAUGAAAUUUGGUUAUAGUAUUAGAGUAAAUGACAUGAUUUGUAAUGAUAUGUUUUUUUAUCGUAAAAAUUUAGUAUAUAGUAUUGAUUUAGCGGUUAGAUAAAUUUUCACCACUAAAAAUUAUUCAAUAAAUACUGGUUAACAUUACAUAUUCACUUGAAUAUUAAUUUUAAUUAUCUAUAACAGCUUUUAUGCAAUUAUAAAGUCUUCAAGCACCAAAAUAUCAAUGAUAUUUCCAUGAAAUAUACCAUAAAAAGUUAAAUUGCUUUAGAUGGCAAAGUUGAAAGUUACUCACGGAUUGAGAUUGGCUGCGUCGGUCUAUUGUGGAAGUCAUGAUGGAUACAAGUGGUCAUGAUUGAUGUAAGUGUUUAGACCUCGACAUUGAAUUUAACAAAUUUCAACGGAUCUAAGUGUCUUACCCUCGUAAGUCGUAUCUCGAGACCAUAAUUCCUUUUCCCGAUUUAUACAUGUAUGAUGUAUUUAGUUUGGACAAGGUUUUCGAAUAUUUUUUUUUUACUGCAAGCGGAGUUCCUAUAUAACAUUUUAUUUUUAACUUUUACCGUGGGAUUGGAUAUCAUCACCAUUCACAGACAAAAAUAGGGAUGUUAACAAUUUUUAUUUUAUUUUGCGUGUACGGUAUUUUUGAAAUUGUAUUUGUGGUUGCUUUUCAAAAUAUUUUACAUGUUAAAAUGCAUCAAAAUAAUAUUUUUUCAUAUUUUAAAAAUUAUUUUUGAGAUCAGCCCAUCAAAACGAUCUAAAACACAUAAAAAAAUUAAUUUUUAAUAAAUUUUUUUUUAAAUUUUUAAAAAAUACAGUUUGAACUGCAUUUCCAAACAGGUCACGAUCAAAACCUAAAAGAUGAAUUUACUUUUUUUAAAUAGAUAAACACAAAUGUUUCAAAAUUUUGUUGGGGAUCAUCCUAAUUAUUUUCAAACUUUUAUGCCUAAAGUAUUUUUUAUUUAAAAAUUAUUAAAAUAAUUUUAUUUAUUUAUUAAAAUUUAUUCUUAACAAUGGUACAUCAAAACAAUAAAAUAUAAUAAAAAAAUAAUCUAAAACAAAAAAAAUUAAAUUUUUUCAAACAAUUCUCUCUGUAUGCUCUACCUGAAAGUCACCACAAGUUUUGUUUGAUACCAGCAAAGCAUCUUCAAGUCCCAGAAUAGACUUGCAGGAACUCACUCUUGCCAAUCCUCAACUAACACCACGAGUUGAAUAUCAUAUUAAAAUCACAAAUUACCAAAAAUAACUUAUCCAUUCACUCGUGUCACUUUAGCAGUACUCUGUAUGAUACCCCCUAACGUUAAUUAUAAAAAUAAAAAUAAAAAAGCAGUUUUUUAAGAAAUUAAAUUCUUUUUUAAAAGCUGGAAUCACACACCUUGUAAAUAUCAUUUUAGUGUUUUUUAAUAAUUUUAAUGUAUUUAUAUUAAAAAUAAGAGAAAUUUAAAAUAUUUUUAAAUAAAAGAUAUAUAUUUUUUUAAAAAAAUCAUGUACUGGAAUACCCAGGCCCCCUCUGGCCUCUUUCCCUCUCACGCCCCCCUCUACUAUUCUCUUCUGUACACAAAAAUAAUCUUUUAAGAAAUCUCCACCUGAAAACAAAACAAAACAUCCUUUUCAUCAUUUCCUGGCACACUAAAAACAAACAGCUCUCCCUCCCUCUCUCUCUCUCUCUCAUUUUUCUUGAAAUGAUCUUUCUCUCAUUCUAGAACAUAAGCUUUCUUUCUUAUUUAUUUGCAUGGCUAUAAACACUAUAAUGAAAAAUAAAACUUAUAAUGUUGUCAGUAGUGAGGGGAGUGGCGGGGACGGAAAUUCUUCUAGUCCACCAUCGUCGCCACGGCGUCAGACAAGCGGCUUCUCUCAAUGUCGUCGGCGGCUCCGCUCGAAGGUUCAGUUGCAGUACUUUCGCAAAGACAGUUUGGCUGCCGGGAUUUUUGUACGGCGGAACAUACAGUUCCUCCUGCUCUUGUUCUUUCUCUACUUUUCUGGUUUGAUGAUGUGUGUAGGCCGGUUCUCGGAUUUCUUGCGUCACUCUCGUGAGCCUAUUGCGAUCUAUAAAAGCCAUGUCUUGUUGGAGAAGCUUUGGCAUGAUAUCGAAACUGAUAAUUCUACUGCUCUCGAGGUUUUCAUUUUUUUAAAUUUUUUUUUUUGUGAACUUUUGUUUUUGCGUUGUUUAAUUUUUAUUUUCUGUUUGGUUGUUGAGCAAAAGUGGAAAAAGGAAAAGUAAAGGAAGGAAAAAAAAGAAAGAAGUAAAGCUUGCAACCACCGAAUUACUACGUGGGGCCGAAACAGAAAAAUUGUUGAAAUUUAAUCAUGAUCGAGGCAUUAUUAAUUUUCGAGAGGCUUUUGAUUAUUAAUAAAGUGAAUUGCUAAGUUCUAACAAGGGGUUAUGCCAUAUAGCCAAAUUAAUGAUAUAUAUAUUUUUUAAUUUAUUUUUCCCACUUAAACUAUAAUUUUUAAUUUUUUUUUUGCAGUUAUCUUCUGUAUGGCAAUUCAAAAGGAGAAUGAAAGUGCAGAAACCUUGUCCCGUGUUAGCUGCUAGACGGCGUUUGGGCUCAGUCGAAGGUAGUUGUUAUUGUUGCUGAGAAUUUUCAGUCUAGUAAACAACCCUUUGCCCUUCUGUUUCAAAGAUAAUGUCGGCAUGCUAAUCAGCGCUAAGGGCAAAAAUUAACUGAGUUUUUAAGAAGCUAAAUUGAUAUUUUGUAUUUUCAAGUGCAGUGUCGUCUGGUCCCGCCGGGUACUUAAUCGUGGAGGCAAAUGGUGGUCUUAACCAACAGCGCUCUGCGGUAUGUUAUUUAUUAUCCUAUUUACCGCUUUCCAUUUUCCGGUGUCAUUGUAGGAUAAGCCUGCACUCAUGUGCCCCUCAUGUCUUGUUGUAGAUCUGUAAUGCAGUUGCUGUAGCUGGAAUCUUGAAUGCAGUACUGGUCAUCCCUAGUUUUGGUUACAACAGUGUCUGGAAGGAUCCAAGGUCAGCUGCUGAAUUAUUCCCUCCUUUAAAAAAAAUAAAAAAUAAAAAAUAAAAUUCCUUGACCAGGUUUUAAAUUUCAAACGUGGUGAGUUGUUAUUAAGGUCUCUCUGGCUACUGUAAUGACCAUCUAAUUAUCUAAAUGCACUCAUCCCUAGUUUUCGUUACAACAGUGUCUGGAAUGAUCCAAGGUGAGCUGCUGAAUUAUUCCCUCCUUUUUAUAUAAAAUAAAAAUAAAAAUAAAAAUUCCUUGACCAGGUUUUAAAUUUCAAACGUGGUGGGUUGUUAUUAAGGUCUCUCUGGCUACUGUAAUGACCAUCUAAUUAUCUAAAUGCACUCGUGAAUUUAAAGAAGUCGUGUUAGUGUAACCUGGAAGUGCUUAAGAGAUGGUGCAGAACUUUAAUUGAGACUGAAACACGUAAAUAUAUUCGAAUUUUCUGAGAGAGGUGCCUCCAGUUUUCAGGGUUUUGCCUAUAAGAGUAACAGUUACUCCAAGCAUGACAUCUGAAAGACGUGAUCAAAUACUGAUCUUGUCAAUAUCAUUUUCUUUUAAUUUGAGACAAGAUGGUGGUGGGUGCUUGCCAUAAAAACCUUCAGGCUUGAUGUUGCAAUUAUUUCAAUAUUUAUGUCUGUCUAGAUUGAUGGAUGUGUUGAUGUUGAUUGCACCAUACAUGUCAUGAUGCAAACGCAUAAGCAGUUUUUUGGGCAUUUUAUAUCUUCUAGUUUGUGGAUGAACCCGAUUGGCAUGUGUAUGUAAUCAAGUAUAACCAACUAUUUUUUUGGACCAAAUUUGAGGUUUUUGGUUCAGAUGGGGAAACUAACAGUGGUAAUAGACCCACUAUUUGUAUUCGGAAACUUGCCAAAAGUGUACCAGGACAAUGAGUUCCACCCCUGAAUUCUGUUGCUUUCAGUGAUUUUCUUUUAAAACUGAAUCUUUCAUGAACAAAUCAAUUAUAGCUAAAGAUUCAUUUGUUUUACAGUGAGUUCAGAGACAUAUAUGAUGAAGAUCAUUUUAUAGCCACACUUGAGGGUUAUGUGAAAGUGGUUGCAGAGUUGCCUGAUGAGUUGAUAUCAAAAUAUGACCACAAUAUUACUAAUAUUCCACACCUCCGUGUUGAAGCAUGGGCUCCUGCUAAACAUUAUUUAGGAGAAGUUUAUCCUGUCCUGCAGGAGCAAGGGUACGUGAUGAAGCAUUCUUUCCUGUUCUUUCAUUUCCUUUUACAAUCAUUUAUUUCUUCCCUCAAUUAGAACGUAUCUUUUUGAAGGAAAAUGACUAAUCUGUUAGUUGCUAAUUUGUCCCAGCUAUCAUGAUUUCUGCAUUUACUACUUUCUAACCAGAUAUCUGUUGAAACACGCUUCUAGCUUGUUUUUGACUAUUCACUCCUUUCAAAACAGGGUCAUCCGCAUUGCACCCUUUGCCAAUAGAUUGGCAAUGAAUGUCCCAUCUCACAUUCAAUUGCUUAGGUGCAUAACAAAUUACAGAGCAUUGAGGUUCUCUGCUCCUAUAACAACCCUAGCACAGAAAUUGGUAAACCGAAUGAUUGAAAGGAGCUCAAUGACUGGUGGAAAAUAUGUGUCCGUUCACCUUCGAUUUGAGGAGGUAUUAAAGCUCAUAUAUUAUUCUAUUCUAAGCAAGGUUUCUGUUCCUUGAAAUAUUUUAUGUUGAGCAUGCUGAGGAUCCUAUUUCAUAUAACGAUAAACAUAUCCGUCCUCAUCUUUUAGGACAUGGUGGCCUUCUCAAGCUGUUUGUAUGAUGGAGGGGAUGCUGAAAAGUCUGAAAUGCAUUCAUUUCGGGAAAAAGGGUGGAAGGGGAAGUUCAAAAGAAAAGAUCUCGACUUCGUAGCUGGUCGUAAUCGUAUAGAUGGAAAAUGCCCUCUAACACCCUUGGAGGUACCCCAUUUAUCUACCUCUUUUAGCAUUUUUCAUUUGAGCUCUUUGUAGCGCUCUUCCUUUCAUAAAAUGGCUGCUAUAAUGAGUUGCAGCCUUAACACAAAUUUCCAUGGUCUUCAACUUGCUCUUAUAGCAUCCUAAAUUAAAUAGAAUGACCUUGAAUAGUGCUUGAGAGCUUUUCUCUAAGUUCCUACUUCCUAGUACAUUCUAUGUUCUCUUGGUUUGUUUUGUGCAGUGCAACAUUUUCAUUACUGUUUAAAAACUGAAAAAAAGAUUGUUGCAUUGUGCUAUAAAACAAAACAAAAUUCUUACAGUUUUGAUAAUAACAAAGCAAAUUAACUGUGAAUAACUCUUAAUUCAACCUGGUGUUGUUGGUACACUAUCUUUCAAAUCACCUUAUUGGUUUCCAUCCUCGUGAUCUAAUUUGGCCAGUAAUCACUCUUUUCUUUGUACAUGAUGUUUUUCCUGUCAGCAUAGGUUGGGAUGAUGCUGCGUGGCAUGGGGUUCGGUAGCAACACUUCAAUUUAUUUAGCCUCAGGGAAAAUUUACAAAGGAGAACAACAUUUAGCUCCUUUAUUGAAGAUGUUUCCCCUUCUUUACACCAAGGAGUCACUUGCAACCUCUGACGAGCUUGCUCCUUUUCAGGUAAAUCCUAAAUGCUCACUAUACCUCUCUUGCAUUGUGUGGUUAAAGGAGUUUGUUGGAUCAGGAUGUUUUUGAAAAUUGAUUGAUAUGCUUUACAGAUUACCCAAACCAUAUAUGUCUACAACAUGCGCCACUUUACCAUUCCUGCUUCACUUACAACCCAUGUUUUAUCUGAGCUUCUGCCAUCAAAUUUGGAAGGCAUUUUUUUUUACGAGGGAUUCUAAGCGAUAUACUUGAUACUCUGCUCCAAGUGUUAUUUGUUAUUUAGUCCCUAUAAUUUAACAAAACUAUCCAAUCAAUCCUCAUGGUUUCGAAAACUAUAUAUUUAAUUUCUAUGUUUACAUUUUUAAAUUCAUUUAUAACUUAGUCCUUUCAUCAAUUUCUUGCUGUUUUCCGAAGUUUUUUAUUUUUUUUAACAAUAUAAAAAUUAAAAUAUAACUAGGCAAUAUGAGUUUUUUUUAAUUCGUGAGACAUUUUUGGAACAAGAACUACUAAAUUGAGGAUGUUUACUGUUGAUUAAGAGACUUUUCAGUUAUCUUCAGCGACUAAUUAAAUAGGUUUUAUAAAGUACAGGGAUCUAGUUAACUCUAUUUUUAAAGUUUCUACGAGUUCAAUAGGAUUUUGCAAUGUCCAUGGAUUAAUUCAAUUGAAUGAUGCUGAAUAUGUCUAGAUUGCUAUGUUGAUUGUAUCAGUAGACAGUGAGUUUAUUUUUUUCAGCUUCUUGGCUUGAAUAUGAACAUUAUACAAAAUGAUUCUGAAUAUAGAAACAAACCCAUAUAAAAAAGCUGAAUUCGUCUUGACUGCUAUGCAUGUGCUUAUUUUUCAAUUUGACCCAGAACCUUAUUCUACUAACUUGCUAAAACACCUAUUUUCUAUGAUUGCAGGGCUACUCUUCGAGGCUGGCAGCUUUGGACUACACUGUAUGCUUGUUCAGUGAGGUUUUUGUGACAACUCACGGUGGAAACUUCCCACAUUUUCUGAUGGGUCACCGUAGAUUUCUUUUUAAUGGGCAUGCAAAGACCAUAAGGCCUGAUAAACGCAUGCUUGUUGGUCUACUAGAGAACAUGACAAUCAGGUAUCUUCUCCAUCAACUGCGUCAUUCCUCUUUGUUUAUAUCCUUGUGUUUAUUGGAACUGAGUUAAAAGGUAAUGUUGAAAUUUUUAGAUUUGCAAUCGGCUUCUAUCUUUGAUUAUGACAUGAUAGAUAGGGGUUCAGGGGAAAACACCGACGGAUAAAAUGUCUUGUGGUUAACAUUUAGCAGUUUGGCAUGUUCUAUCAACUAGCAGUUAGUAUAUUCAACCAAUGAAAUGCUCCAGAGAUUGUAUUUCUCGAUUAUUUCACCACAAGCUUAGUAAGCAAGAAUUUGAAAAUCGUUGUAGAAGAAUAUAUUAUAGAGGACGUUGUUAUAAGGAUUUAAACUAACCAGAGAAGACCGGGGGUAAAGUGGUUUUCGCUUUAUGUACAGUUUAAAGCUAGAGUGCAAGAUGCUAUUGAGCUCUAGUACUUGGCAAAGGCCUAAUGCAGAAAAAAACAUGCAUCAUUAGUUGAUGAUGGAAUGUUUACUCGUUGGAUUUGCAGCUGGAAGGACUUCAAGGACGGCAUGGAAGCGAUGCUCCUUGAAAGUGAUCGCAAGGGAAUGAUGAUUCCAAGAGUCAGAAAAUUCAACAGAAAGAAUUCGAUCUACACGUUCCCGUUGCCAGAAUGUGACUGUCUCCAAUCACAUGACUCCUCGCGCGGGAUAAACCAUACUCUUAAGGUUCUUGAUCCUCAACUUGAGGCCACAAGAGGAAGAGUUCCAGUCUCAGAUUAGCUCUCAUCUCAUGUAUAAUAAUCCAUCGAUGCUUUUAUAGUCUAUGCAGCUUGGGCUGUUUUCUUCAGCGGUCUUCCAGCAGUUCAGCCCGUUCUCGUGGAUUGUUACAUUUUUCAUGCGGAGAGAUGUGUGAAUUCCGAUUUUUUUCAAUUGAGGAAUUCUUUUAAUGUAAAUUAAAGUUUUGUAAAUAUAUAUCAGACUAAAGAUAUAUAAACCAUCACAAGGACAGAAGAUAUUUAAUAAAAACUUAGUUUAUACAUGUUUAAACUGUAAGCAUGUAAAAGCAUAACUAAGUCUGAUAUAUAUUUAUUAUUUGUGCAUUUAGAAUAUUAGCAAUAUAUAUUUUAAAAUCCUAAUGUCAUGAUAUUGGUUUAGAUGUGUUUCUACACAAGGUGUGUGUUAUAAACUCUAGAUUAGAUUUGAGAGGAAAGUUAAAAUAUAAAAAAAUAAAAAAUAAAAACACUAAAUAUGAGAUGAGUAAGAGUAAAUCUGAAAAAUUCAAGUUUUAAUUUUUUUUUAUAAUUUUUUUUAGUGAAUUUUAGAAAAUAAAAUGUUAUUAAAUGAAUUUUUAUUAUUAUCGUUAUUAUAAAUAGAAAAUUAAAUUUAAAAAAAAUAUAUUUUUUAUUUUAAUUCUUUAUUUAUCUAUAAUUUAUUUAAUCAAAACAAAUUUCCCACAGAGAUAUACCUUUUACACAAAAAUAUGUCCAAGUUCCCUAUAUGUUUGGAAGUUUUUCGGUAUCUAGUUUUUCUGUUGGCUGCAACGAGUGGAUGCUUGGUUUUUGGCUACAUGUGAUUUUCGUCAUGCAAGUGCAAGCAUAGCAUAGCAUUUGAUGUAUGAUCGGCGGAAAGAUACAAAAAUUUCAUAAAGCCAAUCCUAGGACCUAACCAGUCUGGAGCUGGGGCUUGGAUUUUAUUGUUGUUGGUGGUGUAAACGCGGGCCUAGAGAUCGUCUUUCUAGCCCUGUCUACCUAUGGGCUGAUCUUAUCUGUCAAGUAACUUUAUAAUGUACAACGAGAAACUUGUGGUCCGCGUUAAAAAAAAAGGAAUACUUCGAAAAAAUAAAUAAAUACGGUAGAAAUGUUUUUUUUGUCAUUAUCAUGGAUUUUAUUUUUUAUUUUUGCUCGUGUCUUCUUUUUAUUUCAAAUAACUCUGUGAUUAACUAACUAAUAAGAUAUCACCAUCAUCUUAAAUUUUUUUUAUUGAAAAUCAGUCCUCAACUAUCAUAAAUUUUAUAUACGUUCUUGGCUAUAUAUAAUUUGGCUAUUGAAAACAUUCUUCUGUUAACAUCUCUGAUACGGAAGUUCUGGAAAAAAAAUUUUUUUGUCGAGAUUCAAGUUUAUUUGCUUUAGAACAGUGCCAAAAAGCCUUAAUUUCUUUCGUGUUUUUUUUUUCCCUCUUUGCAGCGUAGAAAAAUCUAUUUCUUGUAGAUUCUGCAAUAUUUUACUCGGACGCCUAUCCUAAAUAGGAUAUGCUUUUUUCCCUAAGGUCAGCCUGAUAACUUCAAAGAAUAUCCAAUGUGUCCAUUUGAUUAAUGUUUUUACUUUCCAAGAUCUUUUUCCUACGAUCUUGAUUUAUUUAUCUAAUAUUCACAUUUGGAUUUUCUUUUUUGAUUUUUUGAUAUCUUUAAAACUUUCACCUAUGAUUUUCUAUAUAAUGUGUAGAUCUUUGAUACGUGACAUCCAAAAUAACAGAAUUGGAUAAAAUGAUGAAAAUCAUAGCUGUAGAAUUCAUAUAAAAAUAUUAUUUAUAGGAAGUAUAAAAUCAUGGGUUAAUGCCUUACUGGCAAAUUUUGUUCAUACACUUUUUUAUUCUCUAUGUAUUAUAUAAAUUCUACUUAUGAAGGCUUUUAUCAUUCCAUGGCUAACCAUGACACGUGUAGUGAACUUCUAGUCAUGUAGCUUCCUCCAACAACUCAUGAGCUCUUUGACCUUUGUGGAUAAUGAAAAUGGACUUGAAGCAUAUAGUUGCAGCUAUACGCCAUUGUGGGCGAGUCAAAGCUCUCAAGCAAGGCAAAUCAUUUCAUUCUCAUUUGAUCAAAACUGGGUAUUCUCAUAACGUCUACAUAGCCUGCAAUUUGGUAUCUAUGUAUGCUGACUUCACAUUUUUAAUCGACGCAUAUAAACUGUUUGAUGAAAUGCCUGUAAAAAACAUCGUCACCUGGACCACUAUGGUUUCUGCGUAUACCAGCAAUGGAAAGCCUCGUGAAGCAAUAAAGCUAUAUACCCGGAUGUUAGAUUCUAAAUCAGAAGUCCCUAAUGGGUUUAUGUACUCUGUGGUUUUGAAAGCGUGUGGUCUUGUGGGUGAGAUUGAGCUGGGUAGACUGAUUCAUAAGAGAUUUUCUAGAGAGAAUUUAGAUUACGAUAUUGUUUUGCUGAAUGCUCUUUUGGAUAUGUAUGUUAAAUGCGGAUGCUUGAGUGAUGCAAGAAAAGUUUUCGAUAGGAUCUUUUUGAGGGCGAAUUCCACUUCCUGGAAUACAAUGAUUUCGGGGUAUUUUAAGGAAGGUUUGGUGGAGGAGGCUGUUAAUUUGUUCAAUCAAAUGCCGGACAGAAAUGUUGUUUCUUGGAAUACUAUUAUUGCUGGUCUUGCAGAAAAUGGGAGUUCACGUGCAUUACAGUUUGUUUGUAAGAUGCACCGGGAAGGGAUUAAGCUUGAUAAAUUUACUUUUCCAUGUGCUCUUAAGACAUGUAGCUAUGCUGGUUUCUUAGUUGCAGGUAAACAGAUUCACUGUUAUGUUUUAAAGUCUGGUUUGGAGUCUAGUUGCUUCGCUGUGUCAGCGCUGGUUGAUAUGUAUUCAAAUUGCAACGGGUUAGAUGAUGCUAUAAGGCUGUUUGAUCAAUACUCAGGUGGUACUGGUUCAAUCUGUGAUAGCUUAGUACUCUGGAAUUCUAUGCUUUCAGGGUAUGUUGUUCAUGAGAAAAAUAGAGCUGCUGUUAAUAUGAUUGCACAAAUCCAUCAUUCUGGUGCUUCGGUUGACUCUUACACCUUGAGUAGUGCUUUGAAGGUCUGCAUCAACUUGCUCAAUGUGAGACUUGGGAUUCAAGUUCAUGCUUUGAUUGUUACCAGUGGGCAUGAGUUAGAUUAUGUUGUUGGAAGCAUCCUUGUAGACCUCUAUGCAAAACUGGGGAAUAUGAAAGAUGCUUUUAAACUGUUUCAUAGGCUUCCCAAGAAAGAUAUUGUAGCUUGGUCUGGUUUACUCAUGGGGUGCGCUAAGAUGGAAUUGAACUCCUUAGCUUUGUCACUGUUUAGAGAUAUGGUUACAUUUGGUGUUGAAGUAGAUCAGUAUAUUGUUUCUAAUGUUCUGAAAGUCUGUUCUAGUUUGGCAUCUAUUGGAACCGGUAAACAGGUACAUGCUUUUUGUAUCAAGAGAGGAUAUGAAACCGAACAGGUCACCAUCACAGCCCUCAUUGACAUGUAUUCAAAAUGUGGUGAGGUAGAAGAUGGUUUGGUUUUGUUUGGCUGUGUUGCAGAUAGGGAUGUUGUAUGCUGGACAGGGAUCAUUGUGGGGUGUGCGCAGAAUGGAAGGGCAAAUGAAGCUCUUGAAAUUUUCCGACAGAUGGUACAAUCAGGGUUAAAGCCAAAUGAAGUCACUUAUCUAGGUGUCCUUACUGCAUGUAGGCAUGCUGGUUUGGUUGUAGAGGCACAGACCAUAUUUGGGACCAUGAAAUGUGAUCACAGACUUGAACCUCAACUAGAACAUUAUUAUUGCAUGGUUGAUCUUCUAUGUCAAGCUGGAUAUUUCAAAGAGGUAGAGAAGUUAAUUGCUGAGAUGCCAUUUAAACCUGACAAAACCAUAUGGAGCUCGAUGCUUGGGGCCUGUGGGACUCACAGGAAUACUGGAUUGGUCAGUACCAUUGCUGAGAACCUUCUUGCUAAUUGUCCAAAUGACCCUUCGAUUUAUGUUAUGCUUUCAAAUGCUUAUGGAACUUUGGGAAUGUGGGAUAGUCUAAGCCAAGUGAGGGAAGCUGCUAAAAAGUUGGGUGUCAAAGCAGCUGGAACGAGCUGGAUUGAGAUUUCAAGUUAAGAUGCGUUGGUCAUGGCAUGGCAUUAGUUAAUCUUGCCUGAAGUUCAAGAUUAAGUGGUAAAACAUUCACUGCUACUUAUCUAUUAGUCAUUAUGUGUCUGGGAUGUCAGUGUAAGAGCAUUUACCCGUGCUAAAUAGUUGGGCUGGGUUGAAGAAAACCUGGAGAUGCAGAAACAUACAGCAUGUAUAUUGCCGUCAGAAGGAUCUCGAUAUGAAGGUAACUCCCAAUCCACCUGCAGUUACCAUGCUACAUUUCAGUUUAUUGGUAUGGACCGUAUGGUCACUAGCUUACUUUCAUGCAUGAACAUCUAGGAAAAUUACAAGUUCUGUGUGCUUUCAUCUUUGAUAAGUUUUCCAUUGACUGUUCCAGGAUGCCAAUACAAAUCAUUUCCCUGAAUUCAAUUUACGAGACAAAUUACAACUAAUGUAAGUGUGUUAUACAUUGUGGAUUUCCAGAUGCAAUAAUACAUGAUAUUAACCAGUCAGCUUUUCUUAUCGUUUUCUUUUUAACAACAGCGGAAAGAACUAUGUUAUUCUUCAUCUUGUGUUUUACAGAGUAGGAAAGAGAGGAAGGAAAUUGCAAUAGAAGGGCCCAAGAAAGGAAGAAACGGAAUAGAAUUUUUUACAGGUUUGGCCUCUCUCAAUUGGCUCAACUAUUUGGAACACUGUUGAACUAUAGAGGUCAGUCAAACAAACUGGUAGGUCCAAGCCUAAUUUAUUGCAUAUAGCAUACAUGAAAAAGUAGCUGCAAUUGAGCAACGGUAUGUUAAAGUCCGUCUCCCUAUUAAGCGCAAGCCUUUGAAUUUGCUAAUUUAUACACUCUCAUCUCGCUCAUAUCACUUCUAUUUAUGUCCUUUCCUUCUCUCCUGGUACAGGUGAGAAAUUUCUUUGUUUUUGUAGUACUGGAAAGUUAAAACUGCGAUAAAUAGCAAUAACGAGUGAAAUGAUGACGAUCUUAACUAGCGUAAUAUAGAGUUAUAAAUGUUCCCUCUCUAUAACUAAAACUUGGCAAGCUUUUCUUGCUCCCCCCCUCCCCCAGUAUCUACUUGUUUAAUAUCAUUUAGAAGAAUUAUAGGACAAACAGCUAUAGGUGUGUGUGUUUACACUUGAGAAUCCAACGUUAAAAGUCUUGAGUUGCACUUUCAGCUAUAUGCCAAUCGAAACAAGGCCCUCUAGUCUCAUUUCGAAGAGGUUCCUAGAAUAUAUUUCCAAAAAAUUCAAUUUUUUUGUUUUACUAAAAUUUAAUAUGAUUUGUAUGUUUUGGAUCAUUUUGAUAUGCUGAUAUUAAAAAUAAUUUUUAAAAAAUAAAAAAAUAUCAUUGACAUGUAUUUCAGCAUAAAAAAUUAUUUGAAAAGCAACCGCUACUAUACUAACAAACACCACGACAAGCAUCAGUAGGCUUCUAUUCCUUUCAUGGUCGAAUGUAAAUACAAUCAUUGCUUGUGUCGUGGACUUGGAAAGGCACUGCAAGAGAAAGGAUACAAUGGUCCUACCUAGAAGUGAACGCUGGUCCAACCAUUUGACCUUGACCCGGCAGACUUGAGUAAGCAACUGGCGUGGGGUCCACCUAGGCAAAGAUUAGGGAGCCACACCACCCAAUUGUCAUUGUUGAUGCAAAGGGCAAUUCGUUGCUUUGCAAGGCAUUAUUCCAUGCUUGUGGCAUUUGGUUGUUUUGAACAUUCUUUCUCAUGCCAUGUUGCUUUCUUCAAUCAUUUCACCCCCCUCACAAUUCUCUGUCCUCCCACAGAUUCAACAUUAUGGAUUGUGCCCGUGUUUCUUCUUUAAAGCUUAUCGCCUUCUCUUUUUACUAUUUUCAAUGACUGUAAAACCUGAAAGCACUGUAAAAGUACAGUGAACACACAUUAAAUACUCCUCUGAGCCCAUCAUCAAUGGGCGCCAUAACAUCAACUAAGAGCAUCUCCUAUAAAAAUACUAUUUAAAAGAGUCAAAUGGGCAAUAUAACUUUUUAUAUAUAUAUAUAUAUAUAUAUAUAUAUAUAUAUUUAUAUAUUGCUUAGAUACACUCCUAUGAUAAAAAGCCAUUUAAAAGAGCCAGUUAUAUUUUAAUAUAUUUGAUACACAAUUAUUUUAAUAACUCGAUAUAAUUUAAUUGACUUUGAGGAUAUAAAAACAAUAUGAAUGAUUUUCAAUCAACCUAAAUGAUUAAAUUAAAAACAAUACAAUUAAAAAAACAAUUUAAGUUAAUCUGAAUAAACUUGUCAAAUCCAUGAUAUGGAUAAUGAACCAGGAUAAUUUUAUUAAAAAUAAAUUAAAAAAAUAGAUUUAAAAAAAAUCAAAGGAGAAAAGGAAACUAUUAAAAAAGAAAACAAUAUUGCAAUGAAUGUGAUUUGAUAUUUUUACAAGAUAUGUAGGAAUAAUAUUUUUGUAAGAAAAAUGUUAUUUUGUUUAGUGUUUUUUCCGAGCAUGAAAAACAAGUAAAGAAACUUUUUUGUUUUUGUCUUUUUAUUUAGCUAGGUUGGAGUUGCUCUAACAAGUAACAUCCAAUAUACGAGCCCUUAAAUUCGAGUAGUUGAUCUAACAUAGACCACCAUUACAUGGCAUCCAUCCAUGAUACAUUUCAUGGCUUGCUGCCAUGAUAAAUACCGUUCAUUUCCAUCUUCAAAAUCUCUUGGUAGUGGAAGAAUGAACUACAUUUGUGCGCUUCGUGAUGCGCCACGGGCAAAAUAUUUUUUUUAUCAGUAAAAAUAAAAAGUUUGGGCAAUGUAAGUGUCUUAAAAAGGUUUUUUUUUAAAAUGCAAUUUAGGGUAUAAUUCCGAUAAAAAAAUUGAUAUAUGAAACAACUAAAAAAAAUAGUUAAAAAAAUGACGAAGUUAAGAUUUCAGUAAAUCAAGCAUGAAAAAACAAAAGAAAAAAAAAGCCUAGGUCAACCUUAUCAAGCAUCUAAAUAUGCAAGCUAUGAGACCAAGAUAAUAAACAAAUAAAAAGUAAAUAAAAAAAAAUCGAAUUCAAAUCCCAAAUAAAUUCAGCGUUGAAGGAUAAAAUUGAAAAUAUAAUCAAUUAAAAAAAAACUCUAAAAAAACCAAGUAAGCAAACCAAAUCAAACCAAACUCUGUAAUCUGAAUCAUAUCAAUAAGAUAAUUGAAUAUAAGACAAACUUGAAAACAUUACAUGGCUCAAUUAUAAAAUAACUUAAUAUUGAAGCACAAAAAUUAUUAAAUUUAAAAAGAGUGACCCUGAAAACAAUUGACCCAACCCAGGCCAAUCCAAGCCAACCCGUGGUCUAAGCGACGAGACUGUGAUAGAUGAAUAGAAAGAAAAUCAAUGAAAAUCACAAAGCCUUAUAUAAAAAAAACUUCAACUUUGAAUGAUGGAACAAAAAAAACAUUAAUUCUUAAUCGAUAUAAUGUUGAAGAAUGAAACUUUAUAAUUGCAUAUUUUUUUUGCUUAUUUUGUUUUCAAUUUCAUCACUUAAUAUUUAUUAUUAUUAUUAUUAUUAAUUGGACAGUGCAAUUUAUUUCGGUUUGAUUUUUUUUUAAUCACUUUGAUAUCUUGUUAGUUUUUAAUUUUAUAGGUGUUUAUUUUAGAUUAAAAAAAUUAUAAAAAAAAAUUGUUUGACUCAAUUAAAUUGAUGACUCGUAUCAUAGGUUUGAUUGAUUAAAUUUAUUGGUUAGGGAUGAGCUUGAUAAUUUUUGUUGUUGCAUAAAUAAUUCUUAAUUUAUUUAAUUAGAUUUAUCUAUGAACUUUUUAAAUUAUUCUUUGAAUUUUUUAUUUACAAAAAUACAUUAUAAAAGUCUACAUAUAUUUUUUUAAAAAAUAUAUAUAUUUUGAUUUAUGAUGAAACACGAAUUAAAUAACUAGCAAUUAAAAUGUGACAAACCAAGAUCUUAUGCGCGACUGUCAAUACAGGCUACAUUACUAGGCCGGAGAUCAAAUGCCCAAGCAUCCUGGGGGCAUGAUAGUACCGACCCCCUAACCUUUGCGGUUCAACGAUAGUCAGGUCUGCCAUUAGGUCGUAGGGAUAAAUUUGAGGAUAUGUUUGGUAUUGCAAUUUAAUUGUAUUUUUUAAAAAAAUUAAAUUUUUUAAAUUUUAAAUUAUUUGUUUUUAUUUUUUUGUAUCAAUUUAAUAUAAUGAUAUCAAAAAUAAAUUUUAAAAAAUUAUUUUAAUAUUUUUUCAAACAAUAAAUAUUUUUAAAAAUAACCUCUAACUUACUAUCAAACAUGCACUUUUUUUUCAAGGUAACUCUAGUGAUUAGUGUUGUUUGGUGACAUUAUUAUAUUAUAGAUAACAGUAAAAGAUUUGGCCAUUUAAUUGUAUUUGUAUUGUUUACUAACUCGGAUUAAUUAUUUAUAAUUUAUAAUUUUUUCAUUUUAGUUCUCAAUUUUUUUGUAUUUAAUCUUUUUUAAAUAGUGAUUGUUUUUUAGUUAUUUUAUAUAUAUUUAUUUUUUGAAUAUAAUUUUUUUAUGUUUUAUAUAAUUGAAAUUUAUUAAUUAAAAAAAUAUUUAUUUUCGGAUAACAUUUCUAAUAAGUGCAACAUUGCGGGAAUUUUUUUUUAUUUUAUUCAAUCAAUUUUAUAUGUGUCUAUUUCUAUUAUCAUUUGAUUAAAUAUAAAAAUGAUUUUAAUAACCAGACAUUAAACAGAACCUGGUAAAUAAUUUAUGUUGCGAGAUUUAAUAUUUUGAUCUAUAUCCGCCUCUCGAUAUUUCCAGAUAUGUAUUUAGUUACUAUUAAUGAAUUUUAUUUAUUUAUUGAUUUAUAUAAUUUUUUUAUUUAUUUAACUAAAAAUAUCUUUUUUAUUUACACUUAAUAUUUUUUUAUGUAAAAAAACUUUAGUGGUCAGGUUUUUUUUUUAAAAAAAAAUAACUUAACUCGGGUGUCAAAUAGCUAGUGAAAGUCUAUGACUAGUCCUGCCACGUCAGCACGCCAGAAGAACUCAUUGCUACAAAUGAGCCAAAGGAUUGAAAAUUUGAGAUGACAUUUGGUGGCCACUGGGCAGCACAGAUCUCUCCAUCGUUUACCCUUUUUUGGCCGUUUAAUGGAUAAGUGCAGGCAUGAGAGGCUAUCUUUUCCUUUGUGGCCCUGGGAGGAUUUGCCAGGCUAAAAUGUACAAAUGUACAUGUCAGAUUAAGGAUUGACCAUGGCCAAACCCACGGGAUUAGAAAUACCUUCUCCGCUCUCUCUGGCCAUUCCUGUUAUAAAUUCUUUCUCUGGUUUUGCCUCAUAUAUAUUUUACUUAAACUACGAGAAGUAUAACAUUGCAUUUUCAGAAAAUGAUUCCGAGAAAAUCGAAGGCUUCGGAGUUACAGUAGAUGAAGUUCAUUUUCACGCCCAGUGUUGGACAUGAAGGCAUGUCUUGCAGCUUGAAGACUGAUGUAAUAUCGUCUGCACAAAGUGCAACGCCGUAGUGUUCUGAGUCCAUGCAUUCGAUGAUAAUGCAUCUUGAAUAGUUAAAUCCUCUGUAAACAAUUAGGCUCGGGUUGGUGGUGAAGUUUCAUAGUAAUCGGUCGUUACAUCUCAAAAUAUGGGUGCAUUCUUUCCAAGAAUUUGAUCACCUUCACUUUCAAAAUUGGCAUGAUUAAACAGAAAACAAAGGUUACUUCUCAUUAUUACAUAACUUCUCGUCUGGUGAGUAGGAGACAGUGCACAAGAACAAUGUACAUUUAAUGCCCUGUUUGGAGACUGGCCAAGCUGUGCCCAACAAAUUUUUUGUUUAUAGUUGACCAGGACCCCAAACUGUGCGUUGCAAAAUCCUAUCAAAAGGAAAAAUUAUUAUCGAGUUUCAUGGACAGAAUCAACUGAACAGAACAGAAAACACUACCCUAAUUAAUUCAAUACAAGAUGCUACUAGUUACGAGUUAGGCCAUAUUAAAACCCUCUAUAGAUAACAACAAAACAAGGCAAAAUUGCCCUAGGGUUAAACACAUACAGCUCGUCCAGAUUAGAGUAAACCUCCAUGCCAGCUGCUACUGAGUCAUAAUCCUCAAUAUUUCCCUCCAUGCUCUUCUUAACUCUGCCAGCAAUCACCCUGCAAACCAGCAUUGCCCUCUUUUCGCUAUCACCAUUACCAUCCUCUAAUGUCGUGGCUUUGUCAUGUGCCUUUCCACUGGUCGCUGUUGUCAAAAUCCCAUGUCCAUUAUCAUCUCCACCGGUGGGAUCUUUGAAGCCAUUCUUGAUGAUGCUACAUACCUUACAGUUUGGAACUGAAAUGCACAAAUUAGACGAGCCAUUUAGGCCUAUUGAGCACGCAAAGGUGGUGCAGUGAAACCUGAGGAGCUCAUUGCCGUCUGCUAUGCAACGUGGCUGUUUCUUGGGGAGCUUGGCGGCCUUGGCUUUGAUGGAGUCUCUGUACUCUUCAAACUUAGAGAUGGUUCUCUGGGUAUUAUGGACUUUGAGGAUGCGAUCUAUUUUGCAAAUGGGAGCCUGUUUCUUUAGCCAGCUGGAUUGGAAUAUGAUUUCUACUAUGUUCUUGCUUGUAUCCUCUGGACUCAGUUCAGAUACUGUGAAAUUUGAACCAAAAAUCAGGGAGUUAAGGACUUGUUUUAGUGUUUGGUAAUGAUGGGCAUGCGAAGAUACGUGUGUGAUGGGCAUUGAAAAGUUAAAAUUAGUCAAAAAGUAGUAUUGAAAAAAUGUAGUCAUAAGCAACCAAUAGAUAUUGGAAAAAGAAAAAAAUCCGAAGCUUAAUGGCCAAAAGGAAUUCUUGGCUUCUUUUGCCUCCAAAAAAUACAAUGAACUAUAAGGAUGAAAAUCAAAUUCCUUCUCAAGAAACAUUAUCAUAAGUCAAAAUUAUACUAAUAGAUAAGUAAAUGUGAAAAUAAUAAUUAAAUGGUAGUUGGUUGAAUAUGUAUCAAAAGUUGUAGGGAAUGGUGGGCUACCUGCAUGUCUAACAGCCUGAUGAAGCUCUAGACUUUCAGCUUUCGUGAAAAUCUCACCACAUUCAGGGCAAGAACAAAUGCUACCCCACAAGGAAUGGUCUCUGGAAAUUCCAAGAACAGGAUCCACUACCAUUCUACAUUCAUAGCAACCAGAGAAUCUACUGAAUGGCAUUCCUCUGAAAUUAGAAGAUGCAGAAAGUGAAGAAUUGGUAGAGGAAACAACCCCAUUGAGUUCAUGUAAAGGAGCUUUCAUGGAUCUACUUGAAGUGUCAUUUUUACCAGCUGAGCCCAUUGAAGCCCCUUUCCUUUGGACUUCAGGGGAGGUUGUUUCAGGCCUGUGCAUGACCUUUGUGUUGCUGCAUAUUGAGCCUGAACACCUCAUUUUCUUGCAUUUCUUGCUUGUUUCCUCCGCUGACCGGUCUUGACGUUGGUUGUGUUUUCUCUCCUUCUUCGGUUGCUGCAGCUGAUCUUGCUUUUGUUGUUGUGGUUGCUUUUGUUCUGGCUGCUGCUGCUGUGCUUGGAGAUGCUUGCAGCUAAAAAGGCCUCUUACAACUAACCAUGAAGGUGGUUUUUCUGUUUUCAGGGGAUGGUAGUUUUGAUUCUGUUGGACUUCCUUGGUUGUUCUGGAGUUUUUUGGUUUGGCCAUUGCCAGGUGAUAGAAUAUUGAAGCUUGAGCUCGCCCGCUGGGAAGGUGCGAAAACUAGUAGAGAAGCUAGGGGAUUUAUUUCUAGAUUUUGGAGUUAAUGGUGAUCUUUGAUAUGCAUGUGACGAACUGAAUUUUAUACUGAACUAAUAGCCCUUUUUCACGACGGGAAUCUGACCGUUCAUUGCAUGAAAGUUUCUUAGAUCAGUAGCAGAAGUAAGAAAUCUGGGUCCCUUGUUAAACUACUAUUUACUGCAUGGGCUGUUGUUCUUUUUGUCCAGUAGGUUAGAUCAGUAGAAUGGGAAGGCCAGAUGGUGUUAUACUCUACACUUCUUCCUUUCCAUUUGCAUCAGUAUCCAAUAUUAAUUGAUGACACCCACGUUAAAUUAAAAAGCUAAAAAAAAAUAUUGAUUGAUGAACAGUUAAUUUGAUAGUAAUUGUUCUGAUACUCCUAUUAGGCUAUUACUUACAUCAGCGAAAACUUGGAGAUUUGGUGCUUUUAGCAUUGAAAAUUAAAAUUUUUGGCCAAUUAACAACAUUGCAAAAUGUUUUGAUGAAAUAACAUUUGAAUUGUUGUAAUUCCAAACACGACAUAUAAAUAAGUUGUAAUUAGAAAACGUGAUAUCAAGUAAAUGUUGUAUUUCAGAAUUAUGAUAUAUUAAAAAGUUGUGAUUGAAAACAAUAUAAUCAAGUAAAUGUUGCAUUUUAAAAUUAUGAUUUUUUUAUAUAUCGUGUUUUGGAACCAUAACAACUAACAAGAUGGCUAAAAAAUUUCAUAACCAAAUCACCACGACCAACAAAAAAUUAGUAGUCAAAUCUCCCCUUCAAUCCUACAUAUUUGAAGGGUUAAUGACACUUGUAAAUCCAAGAACCUAAGCUUUGAUUUACUUAUAUUUAAAUUUAAAGUUAUCAUGUUAGAAUAUUUUAAAUUUGAAUUUGUUUGAAUUUUUUUUUUAUUUAAGUAGAAUUCUAAGCUAUGAAAAAACCAUGAAAAAACUUAUGGAGACUUUCUAUUAAGUCAUGGGAGGAUUGAAGAACCUCAAAUAUACUUGUACGGAGAGGCUUGAGCAACCUCGAAUAUGCUCUAAAAAUAUCUUUUAUCUUUUGUUAAUUAGAUCUUUGCAAUCAAUUUCUUCAAAUUCAAUAAAAUUAUUAUUAUUGUUGACCUGAAUUAUUAAAUUUGUUAUAAUUGAUAUCAAAGUAGUAAAUCUAUAACAGAAGGAACGAGGAUGUCAUAGCUUAUUGAAGCUAUUAUAUAUAUAGCUAAACAAUGAUCCAAUAUAAAUGCAAAUCAAUGGCGUCAUGACUAUCUUAGUGAAGUGUGAAGACUCUAACUUGCUUUCUUGUCUUCCUAGGGUAAAUUUCCAGAUCCAAGCACGUUCACAUUAGCGAUUGGGUACUCACUAAUUACACUAUAAUAGUGAUUUUUUUAUAAAAAAGAGUUGUUGGAUUCCUUUCGCCUUGAAAUGAUGUGAACCCAUAUACAAUGGAAUGGAUUUUUGUAUGUUAAUAAUUCAUGAAAAUUAAAAAUAAAACGUUUACCCCUAAUGUUAUCAAAUUUUAUAUUAUGAUAGUUUCGCAGUUGCGGUUUAAAAAAAAUAAUGAUAUUCCAGAAUUCAAUAUCAUCAGGAAUUAGAUUAUUUAAUAUUUGAAUAAUAAGUAAUCACAUGUUCGGUCAAUAUUCUCUUAUUUGGAGCUCACAAAAUAGAUGGUUGAUAAUAUAAAGCUUAACACCUGUAAAAUAAUCAUUUUUAGUGGGGUUUAAGGAACAUCAAAUGAUAAAAUCAGUGACUUUUAAUAAAAAAUUAUAAUAAAUAAAAGAAUAAGCUAUAUAUUCUAAGAAUAAUAGUGUUUUUUUAUAUGAUAAAUGUUUUAAGAACUAAAAAAAUCAAGAAUUCUUUACUUUGUUGAUUCAAGUAAUAUUUAUAGUUUUUUAACUUUAUCAUGUUAUUUAAAUAAAAGAAUUAAAAAAAUUAUUUUCUCUUGCAUUAACAUAUCUAAUCUUUCUCUAUACUUGAAAGAAGAGGUUGGAAAAUCAUGUUCAGGUCUUUAAUGUACCACUGCAAUUAGUAGAGAAAUUAAAAGUGACUUUCAAAUAAAAGAAUGAGCUAUAUAUUCUAAGAAUAAUAGUGUUUUUUUUUAUAUGAUAAAUGUUUUAAGAACUAAAAUAAUUAAGAAUUCUUUACUUUGUUGAUUCAAGUAAUAUUUAUAGUUUCUUAAUUUUAUCAUGUUAUUUAAAUAAAAGAACUAAAAAAUUUAUUUUCUCUUCUUAGCAUUAACAUAUCUUAUCUUUCUCUAUACUUGAAAGAAAAGGGUGGAAAAUCAUGUUCAGAUAUUUAAUGUACCACUGCAAUUAGUAGAGAAAUUAAAAGUGAUUUUCAAAUAACCAUUAGCAUGUGAUUCAGUGGUUGUUAAUAUGAUAGUUAUUAGAGGCUAACACGAUCGUUAACUUCAGGUUAGUGAGAUUAGUCGAGGUGCGAGCAAGCUGGACCGGACACACAUAUUAAUAAUAAUAAUAAAAAAGUGAAUUUCAAAUGAAUUUAUAAUACUAGUUGGAUCGUAUAAAAUCAUUUUAAAAAAAUGGGUGUUAAAAAUUACCUGUCCAAGGAAAGGAGAGGGCUCCGGUUCACAAAAGUUAGUGCCCAAUAUGAGAGCACUUGAUCCCGAAUGCCAAACAGAAUGAUUAGUUUCGCAGAAAUAACCAGGGCGUUUGUCAUGAUGACUCUCAUAUAAUUGACUGCUUUCCCCUUCCUCGAGAAAAUCUAUACCACUACAGCUUCAAAGGAAAAUCUUCACAUGCUUUCCCCUCCCAAAAUAUUGCUUUGUCCUAUGUACCUCACGAUGCAUCGAUAGCCAAUGCUCUUUAAAAUUCUAAUGAACCCAGUAACCAGAGGAGAGAAAAUUCAUCACAAUUUGGAGAAUCUACGACUGCAAUAAAAUAAAACUGGUAUUGGGCUCGAAGGGCCAAUUGUUAGGAAAAUGAACGAUACUUCCCUUAGCCCAAAUGACCCAAAACCAACUUGCCUGAUGCUGGUUCCUCUACUUUUGAGCAGCCCUGCAAUGCAUUGGAUUUUGCUUUGGCCAUGAAAACGAAAGAGAAUGUAUCCCUGGAACAAACAGGACAAUAGUCAAUCAGAAAAAUGCCAGUUUCUGCACAAAAAUCAACUGUAGAAUGGUUUUGGUUACUACUAUUAUGAUUUGCUUUAUUAGCUGCAAAUUGACAACUGUGUGUUGUUAAAUUGAGGUUGAAUGAGAAAAAUUUACCGAGUUCAUAGUCUAUAAAAAGCUGAGAGGUUCCCAGGUGCAGAAAAAGAAAAAAACGAAGGAAGUGUGAUAGGAUACCGAAGUAAAUCAAAGUAUUUUGUUGUCAGGGUGCCAUCAUGUCUACGAGGACUGAAAUUGUGAUCUGUGAUAGGAUGACUUUUGAGCUUUGACUGUAUAUGUCGUUUUCGGUGUUGGUGCCAGAAGUCUGUACACGACAGUAAUCCUCUCCUCCCUUCCUCUUGUUGGGGUCUCGACGUUCUUCUGCUGUAACUCUUUUCUGGCGUACUUGUCUUGGUGCAAAUAUAAUUCGGACUCGGCAAUCUCGAGAAAUGACUUCUCGGUUAUUUUAUCAAGGAAAUCAAUUGACACAGUAAAAUUGUUCUCACGUCAAAAAGAAAAGAAAAGGUAAUAUUGCUCUUGAUUUCUGAAAGCAGACUCCCCACCAUGUUGCGAAAGGUAAUAUUGCUCUUGAUUUCUGAAAGCGGACUCCCCACCAUGUUGCGAUUCUCUCCUCCCUUCUAUAUAUAUUAGAAGCACAGAUUACGACUUUCGAGUGCUUUGCUUAUUCAUGCUGUGCAUGUAUGAAUACCAACUGAGUUAAGUCCAAUGGCCUGCUUGAUCAGUGUUGUUUUAAUGAAUUAAUAUAAAAUCAUUUAUUAGCUUAAUGGUUUAGAUUUUUGAAUUAAAAAUAUUAUUUAACAUAAUAUUAAAAUUUUAAUAAUAAAAUAAUUACGAAUUAGAAUCUCAAAUAGUGGUGCGUGUGUAUAUAUAUAUUAUUAAUUUGAGUAUGGUUUGCUUGUUAAAAAACAUUUUUUUAUAAAACAUUUUUCUGACUUCAGUUUUCUAUAACAGAAAAAUAUAAGAUUUAAAGAGUGAAAAAUGUUUUCUAAUUCAAAAUAAUAAAAACCACUUUUACACGGAGAAAAACAACACUUUAUUAUUUAAAUAUAUAUCAACAUUAUAUAUUAAUAAAAUAAUUUUGAAAUAAAUAAUAUUAUUAGAAAAUAAUAAAAUAAUAAUAUAUAGUGUAAAUAAUACAUUAGGAUACAUCAAUAUAAAAUAUUUAUUAAAAGUUAUAUUAAUUUAAUAUAUCAGUGUAUAUAAUGUUUUACUUUAUAUAGUAUUGCUAAAAAACACAUUGAAAUAUACAUGUUAUGCUAUACAAUAAUCAUAUAAAAAAAAUAGAAUAUAAAAGAAAAUAUUUUCAAGAAUCAUCAAAUAGAAAAAAAAUGUUAUGGCACUAUUUUAGAAAUAGUACUAUUUAAAAAACAUUAUUGACUUGGAAACACUUAUUUUUCAACUUAGUUUAUUCCAUAAAAUAGUUUCAACUCAAUUUUUAUUAUACAAUCAAGCAUUAAAAAUAAUCUAUUUUCUUGAAAAUUACUUAUCAUGAAAUUCACUUUUCAAAAAAGAAUUUAUUUUCUGACAAACGAGGCCUUGAAUUACACGGUAAAGCUAUACAUUUUUUUAAAUGACAUUAAAGAAUAGUUUCUUUUGUUAAGCAUUGAGAUUAAAAUGAAAACAGUACUGUUAACAGUCAGUGUUACUCCAAAGCAAGGUAUUUGUUAGCACUAUUCCCCCUUGUUUUAUUGUCUGUUUGCCCCUCCCCGCAGAAAAUCCAUGCUACUUGUUAAAAAAAAAUUCGCUCCCCUGUUUUUUUUUUCUCCUCCCUCCGGUCUCUCUCCACCAGCAAUCACGUUGUCCCCUGUUUUUUUUUCUCCUUAUCACCAUGAUAUAACCAGAAAUUAAAAAAUAAUUUAUUUUCUCAAAAAUCACUUUUUAAAGAGUGAAACCAUUUUUAAAUUUUUGACAAUUAAAGGAUAAUUUAUUUUGUUUGUAACAAUUAUUGUUACUCCAAAGCAAGACAUUUGUCAGCACGAUUCUCCCUUGUUUCAGCUACAAUCCACGUAUUAAAUUCUCUAAAAGCCUUUUUUAAUAACGAGUAAAUUAUAAAUUAAUCCUUUUAGUUUUGCAAAAUGGAUUAAACAGUCCAUUUAGUUUGAGAAAUAAUUAAUUGAUUGAUUGAUUGAUCAGUGUUGAUGAUGUUUAAUUUAAUAUUUAUCUAUAAUCCAACAUAUAUCUUAUUUUCUCAUCAAUCUUUUUAUGCUAUUCUUUUUCCUUUUCUACUCCUCAACACCAAAAAAUAAAUUAAGAAAUAUAAUAAAAAGAGUAAAAAUUAUAAUUAUUAUAUAAACUAAAACACUUUAAAAAAAACUACAGUUUUUAAUGGUGUUUCACUACUCGUAUAAAUAAUAAAACACCUUUCUCUUUUUUAUUUUAUUUUUUUUAAUUUUAUAAUUUCUAAUAAAAUAUUUUUUUAUUCGAUCAAUCUUGUGACCUAAUUUUACGAGAUAAGGUUUAAAAUUAGAGUGGAGAGAUAAAAUUAAAAUAAAAAGGACCACAAUGUAAAAUAUAUAAAAAAUAUAUGACCAAUAUCAAAGUUUAUAAAAUUUUUAUUUUGAUUCAAAUAUUCAUUUUGUUUAGUUUUUAAUUCACGAUUGUAAGAUAAGAGGGGUAAAGUACAAGAAAACUGCAAUAAAAAAGAAAAAAUUAGUAAUUCAAUUUGAGGAGAGUGAAUAAUAAUGAUUUUUCCCUUUUUGAUUUAAAUAAAUAAUGUUCAUUUAAAUCCUUUUUGAUUUAGUUUAUAUUUACUUUUUAGAUUGAUUUUAAAAUGUUUUUGGAUUAGUAGGUGAUUUAUGAAGGUUUUAUCAUGUUUUCAUGUGAAAAUAAAUUGAUUUUUCAAGCCACCCGCCCCAUCCCCUGGUUUUAUGGACAAUAAUAACAGGUGACUUGCCACCCAAUUUUUUUUUUUAAAGAGAAAAAAUAAGUGGAUGACCCAUCAUCCACUCCUAAAAAGAAACAAGCAUGCCUAGAGUUAGAAGACUAAUUAAUUAUUUUAUUCUUCUAAGUUCUAACAUAAACAGCAUAUAUGCAAAACCAAAAUGUUUACGUUUUUAAUUAAAAAAAAACAUUAUAUUUUAAAAUGUAUGUACAUCACUAACACAAUUUUCCAUUACAUUCAUAAUUAAUUUGAUAUUUUACCCGUGAGUGAUAAAACUAAUUAUAACUAUAUUUUAAAAUAGAAGACCAAUUAAUUAUUUUUUAAAACUAAAAUAACUAUUUAAUUCAUUUUGCAAAAUUACAUGUACUAAUUUAUAAUUUACUCAAUAUUAAAUGGUUUAGAGCUGAAAAAAGAAAAGGCCCAAUAAAGGCCCAAAUACAGCAAACAACCAAGAUUCAAGGGCGCCAACAAGACAUUUCAAAACUUUAACGCUGCUCUCUCUCUUGCUCAGUUAGCUUUGGCUAGAACAGCGGAUGGAGUGCUGUUCCACUUUCUCAAUGUGACACAAACACAGGGCACUCAAAAAUUCCGAUGCUUCCUCCUCAUACUCAUGGACAGCACGCAUGCCCUAACCUAAUUCCUUCUAAUUAAAAUAUCUCCCCUCCAGAUAAGUAUCUUCGUUUUUGUCUUCUCCUCCCCAAACUGCUCCUCUCCUUGACGGAAAUGCCGUUGAGAUCCGGCCAUGGACAGGGAGGAUAACCUUCCUCUCCCAUCUCUACCUCCGCCAAAAAAUCUCGUUCGUCCGGUCACCAACGCCGCCGACACGACUUCAUCUUCGUCCUCGUUCUCUUCCUCCUCCCCGGACUUUCUCCGGCAUGUCCAAGCCGCCUUCAAGCGCCACCGCCCCCUCGGUACCACCACCCCUAUCUGUAACUUUUUGUACUUUCGAUCUCUCUAGAUCUCGCUUUUACUAAGAAGUUCUGAAAAUUAGGGUUUACAAUUUGGCACAUUCAUUCAUUUAUUUAUCUAUUGCUAUUUACUAUAAAAUGAAAUUAAGGCUUAAUCCAGGAAUGCUGAUUACUAUGUUCACGAUUGUGUUAAUUAAUUUGGAAUCAACUUCUUCAUCUUGAAGUCAAAUUCGAAGAUUUUUUUUUUAAUUUGUGACCAGAGUACUUUAAUUAUGACUUUUUGACAGUUAAAUUGUAAAUGUCGAAGUUCUAAGUGUUUGGCAUGCUCGUUUUAGGUAUAAUGCAAACGAAUAAUAGUAUAAAGCCUAGGCGUACGUUGAUUCCACAGCGUGAAGCAUCGAGAACCGUAGCUUCAAAUGUGGAUCCUACUACAGGGACGAAGAAGUCUCAAGAUGUUGUUCCUCUAAGUAAAGAUUCAAUUUUGCAAACAAAGAAUCCAGUUGCUGUUAUUAGGGAAACUCAUGAAGAUGCAUCUCCGUUUCCAGGAACCAUUACAAAGACGUUUGAUGAGAGUUUCAAUCCGUUUGAUGGACAGAGAGAGCAACCAGAAUCUGUUAUUGCUACUAAAGAGGAUAAUCAGGUGCCCCUGACAUGUGUAGAAUCUCAACUUGUUGAGGGUAAGAGAAAAGUCCAGUUUUUGACAGUGAACAAGGCCACUUCCCAGGGUAAUAUACUGCUCCUUGCUUUUUUGAGUGAUCGUUUGAAAGUUGGUUUUGUUGGAUUACUUGUUGUUUGUCAUCUAAUCUAAGAUGCCGUGGCAAAAGCUUCUAAGUUUUGUACUCUGGACAUAUAUAUAUGUACUGUUAUCUUCUAACUUGCAGGGGCCGAUGAUGGAAUGGCCACUGGAUUGGAGAACUUGUCUUCUCAUAUGGGUUCACUUGCAUUGACAGAAAUGGAAUGGGAUGUGAGCAAUCAAGUAGAGGUGUCAAAUGUGAUUAAUGAUGAAACGAAGCAGCAGAACUUUCAGAACAUGGAAUCAGAUGUCACUUCGAGAUCUGAUGGAGCUGUAACAUCACUGGCAAAGAGAGCAAUGGUUGUUCAGGAUCAGUUGCAUCAAUUGAGGAACUUCUUAAACCAACCAGCUACUCAAUCAUCUGUUGUUGGUCCAUCUUGUGCUACCACAACAUCUGUUCAUUCUACUUCGGCACCCAUGCUUAACUCAACGACUUAUUGCUCUCGUCUACAUACAGAGAGUGGUUCUCAAGCUGCUGUCGAACCUUUGAGGGAUUCUAAUGCAAAUUCUCAGCAUGUAACUCCAAGGAAUUUGGAGCAGCUGUCACAUCCUUUAUUGAAGGACACAAGUGCUAUGCUAAUUGACUUGAGAGCCACUGCAACCCAGCCUUCUACCUCUGCUAUUCAUUCGCAAUUUAAGGAGCUUGACCUGCCUAAGGAGCAAAAGGGAAGCAUGCCUGAGGCACAUGACAUUGCAAACAAUCCUUCUCUUGUUGAUAAGCCCGCUAAGGAGAGGGGACCCGCAGAUGAUGGUACUGAUGUCCAAUCUCAGCGUCCAAUGUCCAGAAACCCAUCUUCAAAUGUGAAGUUGGAGCCUUCUAAACCAGAAAACAAAGAAAAGGUUGCAAGCAGUAAAGGCACAUCAGUACCUCGGAAAAGGAGUUAUGAUCCAGAUUUGUUCUUUAAAGUUAAUGGGAAGCUCUAUCAAAGGCUUGGUAAGAUAGGAAGUGGAGGAAGUAGUGAGGUUCACAAAGUCAUUUCCUCAGACUGUACAAUCUAUGCACUCAAGAAAAUCAAGCUCAAGGGUCGUGAUUAUGGAACUGCAUAUGGUUUUUGCCAGGAAAUUCUAUAUCUAAACAAAUUAAAGGGGAAGAACAACAUUAUACAGUUAAUAGAUUAUGAGGUACUCACUUGCAUCCUUAAAAGAAUCAUGCUCUAAAUGAUAUGAUUUAACUGGGGCAAUCAUGUUUGCAAUUUACUAAAACUCUAUACCUUGUGGUUGUACAUAUGUGCUUCGAGAUAACAUUAUAGAAGACGAUAAAUCUUCUGUGCCAGAAGAAUAGGUCUUUUAUAUUGAUGUUCUUUUUUCUUCUCAUCAGAAUCCAUAUCUUAAAGGCUUGACAUCUAUUCUUGAUUUAUUCAUCUACUAGAUCUCUAACACUUUCUUUUGGAAUUAGGUGACAGAUAAAGCUUUGCUCCAUGAAGUCAUGAGUAGCUCCAUAAGUAAUAAAGAUGGAAGAGUUAAGGAUGAUGGGUGCAUAUACAUGGUCCUUGAAUACGGGGAAAUUGAUUUGGCUCACAUGCUGGCCCAGAAAUGGAAGGAGAUGGAUAGCUCCAACCAGACGAUAGAUGAGAAUUGGCUUAGAUUUUACUGGCAGGUCCUCGGGCUUCACCUGGCCUUGCAUCAUAGUUGCAGUUUAAUUUAUAUUAACACUCUAUAGCUAUUUCUAAUAUUACAGAUUGAUAGCUAUAGCUACUAAUUCAGAUGUCAGUUUUUAAUGCUAGAAUGAAGUCAUUUUGAACAGUGGGGAGCAUUUUGUCUUUGUUUAAAGGAAGCACUGUAAUCAUGCUCCUGUUUUCAUUAUUGGGACUUUGUCUGCAUCACGGGGUGGAUAAGUUUCUAAUGUGGCAUGAUGUUGAUUAUUGACAUUUUUUCAUUUUCCAUUUUCAAUCUCUCUCAUAGUUUGUAUGGAAGGGGAUUUGGCAUGGAUGAGGAAACACACUUGUUUAUAUGAGCAAUGCAACAUUGUCUUCAUAUGAUACUAACAAAUAGCAAAUUUACAUCAUCUUGAAAACACACAGAAUUUGUUGGUCUAAGGCAUAUUUUUUUGUUUUAUUCAUUGUUAUUUGAAUGGCAGUGCAGAUUAACAUUGUUUUGUUCAAAUAUUUUGCAGCAAAUACUUCAAGCUGUCAAUACCAUUCACGAGGAACGUAUUGUGCACUCUGACCUGAAGCCAGCAAAUUUUCUUCUUGUCAAAGGUUCUCUGAAGUUGAUUGAUUUUGGUAUCGCCAAAGCCAUAAUGAGUGAUACCACUAAUAUUCAAAGGGAUUCACAGGUAGACUUGGUUUUCCAAACUAUUAUUAGAUUUAGAAGUAUGAUUGCAUCAGAAUGCAGAUUCCACCUUGUAUGUGUCCUUCUGUUGAUUGACCACAUGUUGCCACUAAGAACACGCCCUUCUUUUGUUCUGUGUAUUUUUGGAUGAAGAGGAUUGCUUAAUUGUCAAUUUAGCUUAUUUAAGAGGUUCUUUAGUUAGUAUUAUUUUGCUUAGUGGUUCAUAUUCUGUUUCUGCAGGUAGGUACCCUGAGCUACAUGUCUCCAGAGGCAUUCAUGUGCAAUGAGAGUGAUGCGAAUGGAAACACCAUAAAGUGUGGUCGACCAUCAGAUAUUUGGUCCCUUGGCUGUAUCCUUUACCAAAUGGUGUAUGGAAGAACCCCCUUUUCUGAGUUCAAGACUUUUUGGGCCAAGUUCAAAGUUAUAACAGAUCCAAACCAUGAGAUAACUUAUGAGCCAGUUUCCAACCCAUGGCUUCUUGAUCUUAUGAAAAAAUGCUUGGCUUGGGACCGGAACGAGAGGUGGAGAAUCCCUCAAUUACUUCAACACCCUUUUCUUGUUCCACCAGUACCAACUCAACCAUCAGUAUCUCAGAAACAAGGUUGUAAGCUGCUUCAACUUGUCUCAGAAACUUGUAGCGGUGACCAAGAAGCUUCUGUGCUAUGCCGUGAGCUCCAACAAUUGCUUAACCCAGGUACUCUCACACCUGAGUCAUCAACAUCGCGAGACCAACAAUGUAAGUUGCUCUCGCAGAUGUCUAAGCUUUGUUUUCAGCUCCGGGAGUGUUUAGCAAAGUUAGAGAGAGGAUAGGAAUGGUUUCAGGUAGUCAACUCUGGGAAGGUCUUCUUCUCGUUUGGGAAUAUGAGAAAUCUUGUCCGUCCACUGUAAGGUGUACACAUCCCUGUUGUUUAAUUAUGCCUUCAAACAGAAGAAUUGAACUCCAAUUCUUUACUUGUAUGCAUCUCCUUUUUGAAAGCGCGCAGCGCGACAAAGGAUGUGUAAUCUUUCACUUGCUUUGCGCAACUUCUAUGUAAGAUAGCACAGUACUGACAUGAUUUUCUACUUAACUGUAAUAGCUAUUUGUCAUGGAUCUUCUGAGAAAAUUUUCAGCACAUUGUCUAGGGAAGCAAGUAACGAUAAAUAAUAAUAAAAAUAACAAAAACAACCCCUGGUGGCGGAAAACCUAAAUUAACUCCUGUGUGGUAACUUCAGAAUUUUUCCCGAAAAUGAUUUUUUUUUCCUCACUGGUAUUGUUUAGAAUACUUUGGCUCAUGCAAAUGCGAGUUCCUGGAAUGGUAGGGUACUUGUAUCAUACUCGAUGUGAGAAGAAAAACUGCCUGCUCCCACGAUUUUGUUUUUUUCCAAACUAUAGUGGCGUGAGCAAUUUGUACGGGUUUGCCGGGGUUCCCUUGUGCCAGUGAAUUUUUGCGUCCUACUAUUGAUUGAUUAUGGAAGGCAGUAGAAAAGGAACGAAGCCGGUUGUGAGCUCCAUGAUUGAUUACCUCCUAUGACUGUAUUAACUGAAUGCUUCCAUUAAGGAAGUUGACGAGGGCAAAUCGUAUCAAACGAAUGACAGAGUAAUUACCAUCUCCUUUUGCAAAUUUCUACAAAGGUAGAGUCUAACCAUCAAACGAAUAGAAGGCGCGACAGACUUUCGCUUAUCCUUCUCAAGCAGGGAGAGAGACAGCGAUGCAACUUCCAGUCUGAUUUCUGAAGAUCAUACACAAACACAAUUAUUCACUCCUCAAUUUUUCCAUUUUUUUGAAAGAAAAAAUAAUAGCCGCGCUUGUAUCUGGUAGUCGAGUAGAAUUGUAAAUAUUUUAGACUGGAGAGUGUAGACGAUUCCAGUAUUAUUUUAAAUUUAAAUAUUUAGUCUCACCUUCCCUUCCGUUCCUCCAAUUUUCACAUUCGCAAAAAAUGCCCUAAAAUAUUGGGCUAUGUAAUUUCUUUUGUCAUAAAAUACCUCUCCGCCGUUCCUUCUGCGAAUAACGUAUCGCUUUUAUAAUCCAACGGCUCCAAAACGUCAGUGACAACAAACUUUAAGCACCUGCUGUUCCUAUAACACGUGUUGUGUUCUCCGCAAACUAAACUUCUAACUCCGUAGAGAAAGAGGUUUUUUACGACUUGAAUUGGACCCCAAGGGAGCGGAAUCUAGCUAAUGCCAGAAAAACUUCUCUCGCGCUUCUCUCGCGCUUCAUUCACGCUUCCUCACCUGCGUUUUCUCUCUCCACAAUCUUCUCUCUCGCUCCGCUCUCUACAUAACUUCAUUGCUCCUACAAGCCAGAAAAGCCCAUUCACUCUAUCUCGAUCAGUUGCAGCCGCUACAGGUGCGUGUCAGAUGCCUUUACCUUUCUUGACAACUGGAAAUGCUUUUAAAUCUUGAUUUGUUGCUGCUGCUGUUGUUUUGGUUCAGCAAUGGAUAGCAGCAGCAGCACGCCUUGUAAGCUGGUAUUAUGCGGAAAAUCAUCUGCAGAGAAUGAAAUUGCUAAAUCAUUAAUGAAUAAUAACACUCUUAAACUGCCUGAUAAUGUGCAAGUCUCUACUCUCUUGCACUCGGAGAUUAUUAAUAAGCAGCAGCGGCAAGACGAAGAGUCUUUCUGUAUUGAACGGUUUAUGAAUUCUCUUUCAACUAAUCAAUUCGGUAGAUUACUCAUCUGGUCGCCGAUAUUGCCUUCAACUCAUGAUGUUGUUUCCAAGUAAGAAUCUCCAAUUUCAAUUUUCCGAUUUUUUUCGUGUGUAUAAUAAAUUCAGAUGCUUAAUUUUCUUCUUCUUUUUGACAGUAAUUUUGGUGAGCUUCCAAUUGGUACUGUUUGCGUUGCUGAUGUUCAAUAUAAAGGGCGAGGUUUGUGAUAUAAAUUUCGUGCUGUGAUUUCGGAUUUCCAAUGAUCAAUAGUUAUAACUUUGUAUGUUUGAUUGUGCAGGUCGAUCAAAGAAUGUAUGGGAAUCUCCAGCAGGUUGCCUGAUGUUUUCAUUUACCAUUCAAAUGGAGGAUGGACGAGUUGUGCCUUUGUUGCAAUAUGUAGUGUCUCUUGCUGUUACAGAGGCAAUAAAGGAUGUUUGCGACAAAAAUGUUGGUUUUUUUUUCCCUUCUUAAUUGAAGGGUGUUGCCAGUCAUUAACUAGUUAUAACCUUGCUCUUUCUUAUUUGAUAACUAAAUAUCGCUUACUUGGUGAUGUUUACUUGACAAGAGAACAUAAUGACUUAAACAAGUAAAUUAGUCAAGUUGCAUUCAGAGUAUGUGAUCUUAGAGAACGAAGUGCUAGUAACUCAUUACGUUGGUGUGUGAAAAACAUAAGUUUUUUAAGAAUUUUCACCUGAUAGUGUCUGAUUGAAAGGUGGCUUGUGGCUGCUUUACCCAUCAAUGCCAUGCAUGAUUGUUUUAUUGCAAUUUUUCAGCCAGCCAGUAUGUGAGUUUGAGGUUUGAUUCACUCAUUUGGGAGUAUAUGAUUUAUUUCAGGGCUUACCGCGUAUUGAUGUUAGAAUCAAAUGGCCAAAUGAUCUUUAUUUGAAUGGUCUUAAAGUUGGAGGCAUUCUCUCCACCUCAACAUAUAAAUCAAAGAAGUUCAAUGUCAGUACCGGUAAAUAUAAUUCUUUUUCUGUGAUCUGCAAUUGUUUUCUGAUGUUCACACUUCCAUAUUGCUAACUGGCUACUUUGUUUAUUCUUUAUCACUUGUUCUCUAUAAUCCAAAUCAUAGAGAAGGUUGGUUCUAAGUUUGCAUGUAUGAUACAAAUAAUAUAGUAUCACAAUCUUGCAGGUAUAGGCUUGAAUGUCGAUAAUGAGAAACCAACAACAUGCUUGAAUGCAGUCUUAAGAGAAUUGUCUGCUGCUGCAUGCACAUUAAGAAGAGAAGAUAUUGUUGCAGCCUUUCUAAAUAAAUUUGAAAAUUUUUAUGAUCUUUUCAUAAAUGGAGGUGAGCCAAUACUUUUUGAAAAGUCAUAUCCAUCAUCAAUAUGUCAUCUCAUUUAUCAAUCAUUCUGUAGAAAUGUCAUCCAGACAUGCCAACCUUCUUUGGUUUUAUCAUGUCGAAAGUUGAAGCUAUCAUUUUCUUGUAGCAAUUAACUGAGUUUAUUUCCAGAUAAAUUCAUUUGAUAAGGGCCCAUACUUGAAAUGUUUCCUUAGAAAUCCUGCUAGGUUAAAAGGCAUGUAUGUCUAUGCAUGAUUAUUCCAGUUGUUUCUUGAAGGUAUGCUUGCCACGUAACAUCAUAAAAGGAAGAGAAACAACACCUUGGUAACUUAAAUUUAAGGAUUAUUGGAUAUAGGAUGAAAAAAAGAAGAAGCUAUCCUGGAAAUUUUAAUAUCUGUUAGUCAAACUUUUGAGGAGAUAGAACUUCGUUACAGAAGCUCAAAUGAUUGUUUUUGAGAUUUAUUUAUAGCUUCAUGGCUUCAUCCCCUCCCUCCCAUUGCAUUUGUGGAAUAGAUUUUUAUUUUAGCUCUAUGGUUAUCUUUUUUAUUCUUCCCCUUGGAUACUUGCAGACUAGUGUGCUUGGUUUUUGCUGCUUUUAAUUCUUGUAUUACUUACAUAUUGUGGGAUUUAGGGGUUUGCUUCAAAUUUCUUCCAGAUAUUUGUUUGUUGUCCCCUAGCCUGGUAAAGCACCAGCUGGAAUUGGCUUUAUUCAGAAAUCAGAAAGCAUUGCAAUGAGCUAUUCUUAUUAAGUUCUCUAAGAUAGAUUGAGGGUGCUGAUUUGAUACUUUUCAACCAGUCACGGAAUGCACAUGCUAAUUCUUAACCAACUGCUUCAUGUAGUUCUGCUUGAAUCAGCUCGAGGGAUUUUAGAAUGGUAGGAUAAUGGAUUGAAUUUAUAUGGUUUAUUAACAUGAAUGGUGAAGUUUGAUAGCAAAAGGGUGAAGAUUUGAUGGCUUUUUUUUUUGGAUCCCCAGACUCUACUCAUUUGUCCCUGGUUAAUCAUAUAUGGAAGGGCUAGAUACACUCUAAGGUUAAGUUUUUUGUUUGGUUAGUUCUCAAAAACAUAAAUUCCAAUGACUUGUUACAAGUUACUAAUUGUGUUGAUGUUGUUUCCUUCUCUCUUUUCAUAGCUGCAUCAGAAAAUUCUUUAGAAAUAGCAGUUUGUUUCUAGUGACUUUUUUCAUUUCUCUUGUCAAACUAAUUGUAUUACUUAUGAUAAUAAUAAUAACAAUAAUGCCACGUUCAUUCUUUCUGUGUUUUUUUUUCUUUUGGCAUGUCAUCCAGGAUUUCGAACUCUUGAGGAGCUUUACUAUAAAACAUGGCUACACAGGUAAGACAUGCUUUUUUAUCACUCUCCAGCGUUUUAACAUGAUUCCCUCUUUGUUAUGUUAAUGAUUUCCUUUUCUGGGUGUGAUUGUUUACUUUAUCUAAUGUAAGGGGCACUGGAAAUGUUUAUAAUUGGUUAAGGUAGAUGUUCAUUCAAAUCAAAGAUGUUUUACCGGUUUCUCAUUUCAUCACUUCCUCUGAAAUUUUAUGUCCAUACAAGUUUUGAAGGAGAUAAUCUCCAAGAUACAUAGCAAAGGAGGUCCAUCAUCUCCUGUUAUUUCUAUUGCCAUGAAAUGUAUUGAGGUCCAUAGAAGUUUUAGAUUACUUUUUUAAUGAAUUCCUGCACCUGAGAAUGGUGCUUGGCAACCUGAAAACAAUUUGACUGAAAUUAAAAGGGAAAAAAAUCACAUUCUAGUUGCCAUAUGGAAAAAGAAUAUGGUUUCACACACUUUGCUUCAGCUAGGAUGAUGUGGUGUUCAAACCAAUGAAUCAUCUGUUAUCUUCUCAGUAAUGUCCCUGUUUCAGCUGCUCACAUUAUCAUUGGCCUUUGGAUGUGUUGACCGUACAAGUGUACCUGGUUAAUUUCCACAAAUCUUUCUGUCAACGAUUUUCUCAUCCCCUACUCAAUAUUCUCACGUGUUUUGAUUCCCAAUUCGUUUUUUUUUUUGGUUUUUACUUUUUACACAUCACCAGAUUUCUAUUCGCUCUGCUUUAAAAAUUCCUCAUAUUGAGCUAGAUAACUGCUCAACUUUCUGUGCUAUAAGACAGCUGAUCUGACAUGUUUAAACUGUUUAGACAAGCAUGUUUCAGCGAUUUGUUUUCUGGGAACACCUUUCACUAAUUUGCAAAAUUUUAAUUUUUUUUCAUAUGCUUCUAUAAUUGGAACUUCAGAGGCUAUCUCUGUUAUCUUGGACCAUAGUUAUGUUCUUUAUCCUGUACUAAACUCUUGAAUUCAAUUAUCAUAAUCUGCAAUACAUUUGUCAUCUUUUGCAUGUAUAGUUAUGAUUUUGUUUUGAGAUGUUCAUGUAGUGGGCAGAGAGUUAUCAUCCAGGAGAAGAACGAGAACCAAGUAGUGGAGAACGUGGUCACCAUUCAGGUAUGACCAUUGAUAUGGUUCCUAGAUAGCAUGCUACCUUGCAAUUUGAAUCCACUCUUUUCUCCUAUGGAGAUCUGAGGAACAGUUUUAUUC
rnacentral:lncRNA from 1 species